AACGUGAUAGAAUAUUGGUAAAACAUGUCGCCCCAGUUUGCCUAUACACUCCAUGAUCUUCACCAGCUCGUCAAGACACCAACUCGAAUCCGCAUACAUCUUUGAGAAGAUAAUGACAGAGAUCCUCGACUCUUCGAUUGCACAAAACAGUUUCUCUUUUAUUUCUUCGCCUCUUGGUAGAUCGUCCUCAUCAAUAAAGACCUGGUACCCUCUGGCUUUUAAUGCCGCGUGGAGGUGGCUCGUGAAGCCAUAGCGCGUGUCUUCACCCCUGAAGCUCAAGAAUACGUUGUACUUCCAGAGUUUGGACUUGGAGGAGGACGAAGAGGAGGCUUCGUGGGCUGUCAUGGCGGUAUCCACCGUUAUGGCAUAGCAGUGGUUCUGAUCACAGACUGAAAAAAUAGCAAUAGUUGUGUUUGUGUUGGCGUGUUGACCUAAAAAGCGACAGUAAUAGGGCUGGGAAAAGUCAUCCACACGUCACAGGACGGUGAAAAACAAACAAUAUUAUGAGAGAGGAAGAAAUAAAUAAAACUCUGAAAUUCAUAAAAAAUAUUAUCUCCUUCUUCAACUUGCAACAAACAAACAAAAAAAUCACUUUAAAAUAUUCCGGUAGAAAAACCCAUCACAGAACUAGCAAAUUUAGGAGAGAGAAAGAGACCUGCACUCAAAUCGUAAGUUCACCCGUUAAAUUUUCCAAUUCAGAAUCCAGAUCGGGGGUUUUUUCCCUUCAGGUAUUCAAAUUUUGGGCUUGGUCGAGCAUUUUCAAGGGAUUUUUGUAACUUGGAAGCCAUUUUUUCAAUUUCAUAGCCGGAGGGCGGUCUGAAAUGUGGGGGGAGAAGUUGGAGGGAAAAGUACUUUGGUGUUCUUGGAUUUAUCGAGAUGGAGGAAGAGGAAGGGGGAAGGGGGAAGGGUAAGACCGUGGGAUAGAGAAUAAAAUUAUUUUUAAUGGUAUUUUUUAUGGAAAUUGAUAAUCUUAUAAUCUCUUCCUUUUAAUCCACAAAAUUAGAAAAUUCAUGCAAUUAAAAAUUGAUCCAACGACUGAAAUGAUUAUAACUUCUAAAAUGAAUCUUUAUUUGUAGUCAUUGGAUCAAAUUUAAACGGUAUGGAUUUCCUAAUUUGAUGGAUUAGGAUCCCUUAUUAAAUUAACAAUGAGGUCCAGACUCACCAUUAAUGUUUGUCACUUUUCUUUUUCUAAAAGCCAUUUUUGUAUAUUAGCACUUUACUAGGAGCACGUCAAAAUUUGUAGUAAAAUUAUAGGAAGUUUUCAAAAGGAGCACGUCAAAAUCUGUGGUAAAAUUAUAGGAACUUUUCAAAUAUUUUUUAUUAGUUUUUUUUAAAUUCUAAGGAGUUUUAACAAAAAGUCCGCGGUACUGUUCAUUUUAACGAAAAACUAUAUUUUUACACUAAAAAGUCAAAUAUGUUACUAUUCACUUUACCUUUUAUUUUGUCCUUAUUGUUAAAACUCAAAGUUUUCAAACUAUUUUCAUUAAUUUUCCUAAAAUUUUAUCCUUUAAAAGCACUUAUCAUUUUUUUUGCACCAACAUCAUCAUAAUGCUUUUAUAAUAUUGUUUGAAAGCACUUUUAAUAACUCUAUAAACUUCAAUGAAUUAGCCAAACUAGGAAAAGUUGACAAAUUAAAAUUUUUAGCUCAUUUUUUUAUUUAGUUUUUUAUUCUAAUUCAACUUUAAUUCAUUACUUUAUACAAAUUCAACAUUAUAUUCAGAGCUUCACCAUAUUGACAUACUUAAGAUGCGUUGAGUUAAUUAUUUUCUUUCUAUCAAUUAAUUAGUUCGAAUCCAAAUGAUAUAAAAAUAAUAAUAGCAUGAAAUCCUAAUUGUCUAUCUAAGAAGGCACACAACACACCACUCCAUUACGAAAUUGGAAACAAAAAAAAAGUGAGAAAUAUAGAGUGUGCAUGCAUGCCAAGUAAUAUCCACAUGAACUAAAAGAUGAGAAACUCUUAAUAAGAGCACUGUUGAAAACGAAAAUUGGUUGCCUUUCGAUUAUUCAUCUCUAAAAAUUUAUGGUAGGUGGGUAGUUAUAUUGGUGGUACGUGUGUAGUUAUUGUUGGAUCUCACAUUAAACUGAAAUCAGAUCGUGAAAAUCCUUGGAAGAAAACUGCUAAUUCGUUCGUGCUUUUUCUUCGUCGUCUUUGAGGUUGAACACGUAACAUUUUUCUCUUAUUCUUUUUUCACUUUUUCGUUUUCUUUUCUAUUUUUAUUAUUAUUUAUUUUUAAUUAAUUUUUCACUACAGAAUAAGCACGUUUCUACUUUUUAUUUACAUUAUUUUUUUUUAAUACAGUUAUGUUUUUUUACCACUUUGUCCUCAUUUUUUUAUUUUUUUUGAAUUUAGAUUGUGAAGAAAAUUAAGGAUCAUUUUUCGUAUUUUCGAAUGCUUCGACCGCUCAACAUAAAAAAUGAUGUGGUAGAAAGAAAGAAUCACGCUGUACAAGCAACAGCAUCGGGAGACCAAAUACUAGCAUUUAAGGGCCGAAUUAAUGUGGGCUGGGACAAGUGGUCCAUUGGGCUUUCGGAUCAAAGUAAAUACAAGUGGGAAAGAGUACAGAGAGGAGUACCGCCUCGCCUUACGCCUUUCUUCCGUCGGCGUCGUCUAGGGUUUUAGUUGUAACAGAGCCUAUAAGAGCACGAUAGCCCCUGUAAUUCAUCAACCUUCAAUUCACAGACCUGACCGGAGUCUGGAGACUGAACCGCCGUAGAAAUAUUACUGUUACCAUCCUCCUCUUGGUGAUCGCCCUGCCGGCCUUCCGGAUUCGGGAACUUCUGGAUUCAGGGCCUGCAUAUGGACAUGGCGAUUAGCAAAGGGAUGACGGUAAUAUUUAAUUCAUGAUGUUGGUAAACUCGUCGGAAAAUCGACCCCGGCGAAGGCAAACUCACCGGGGGCAGAGCUCUAAAAUUAUGCUAAAUUUCAGUGCUUUUUGCUGUUUAACUUUGUUUUUGUAACUCGUCUAAAUUUGGAUUAUGUGAGAUUAGGUAUAUUCUGAGAUCGCAUCACCAAUCCGAGUAGUGUUGCAGCAGCAAAAUGAAAAUUGGGACAAGAUAUGUUGGUGGAAAUCCUAUCAAAUCUGCCUCCAAUAGUCUGAUGCGAUUCAAAUGCGUCUCUAAAUGGUGGUAUGCUUGCAUCACCAAUCCGAGUUUCGCAUUGAAGCACCUCUCCAACUCCGCCAACAACAGCCUCACCACUCGUGACUAGACCUGGCAUUUUGGACCCGACUUGUUAAACCGACCCGACCCGUUAAUAUUAGUAUUUGAAUGGAUGCUUAACUGGUCGAGUCGUUAACGGAUGAACCCGUUUUUCUUUGGACCAACCCGUUAACACCGUUAGUUGAAGAUGUUAUAGUAAUUUUAGUAAAGUCUUAACAAUAAAAAAUAAAUUCUAUCAAAAAAAAAUAAUAAUAAUAAUGGGUGUUAAUGGGUGAAACGGAUGACCCGUUAGCUUAACGAGUCGAUUUUGGAUAACCCGUUAGCUUAACGGGUCGGAUUCAAUCCGACCCAAAUCCAAUAAAUCCAACCCGUUUACAGGUCUACUCGCGACCUCCUUUUCAAGAGAUAAGUAGUGCAGCGGCAGCAUGAGGUGGAGGAAACUAAACAAGUAUUCUCGUUGCUUAAGUUAUGCAAAGACGAUGGUAAUACCCAUGACGAGGAUAGCAACAACUACUCUCUUCUUGGUGUCCCGGACAUUAUUUUUCCUCACUCUUUGAUUCAGAAGGUCGGAGCCCCGGAACAACUGCAUAUUAUAGGCACUGCAAUGGCAUUGUUUUACUAUAUAGUAAGAGUAGCUUUGUUUUAUGCAAUCCCGGAAUUGAGGAAUUCAUUCGUGUUCCCGAUGAGCCAUAGUAAGAGUAGCUUUGUUUUACUAUAUAGUAAGAGUAGCUUUGUUUUAUGCAUAUUAUAGGCACUCCAACGAUUACGGGAAUGUUCAUAUGUAGUCUGUCUGUCUGCAAUAUUUGAUGGAUGCAUGUUCUAUGCCAUAUUUGAGCCUCCUCUACGGGAAGUCGACGGAAGAAGAAGAAGAAGAAGAAGAGGAAAAAAGCUCGAGAAAUGGUUAAUGCUCUGGAUGAGGGCAUUACUAGCUUGACCUUCUGCGUAACUCGCUUUCCAUUGUAUGAAAUCGACUACGAUGACAAAUCUCUGAAAUUCUUGGACGAAGAUUGAUGAAAUCGGCCAUUGGACAAGUUCUCUGGAUUCAUAUAAUUGCAAGCAAGUUAGCAACUCUGAGGUCGAACAAAGUUAUAAUACAUCAAUCAUUUGCAAACGUGGAGUAAUAUAUCAAUAUUAAAGGUUCCAGGGAACGAAAGGGGAGUUAUUGAUAGUAUAUCUAGUGAACUGAUGAAGAGUUCUCUAGGCCGCAAUCAUUUUUCCAUCUGGAUAUGCAAGUUUGUAUAUAACGUCAUUUGUUCAAAGAGAUUCAACAUUAAUUAAGGGUGAUGCUAAAGAGAUCAUCUUUUUGGACCAUAUUUAUAGACCAUAUGAUGAUGAUGUGAAGGUUGAUGAUUGUAUUAUUUCUUUGGUCGUACCCAGUGCACAAGGCUCCCGCUUUACGCAAGGUCUGGGAGAGGUGAAUGUCGGCUAGCGUUACCCCCAUUUAUAGAGAGGCUGCUCCCAAGUCUCGAACCCGAGACCUACCGCUCAUGGGCGAAGACACUUACCAUCGCACCAAGUGCGACCUCUAUUGUAUUAUUUCUUUAAACUAUUAAAAAUGAAAUCUAACUAUUAACAAUGAGAUUUAUUUAGCCAAAUAAGAAAAAGAAAAAAGCUUCAAAAACUCUUAACUUUAAGGUUUCACUUGAAUAUAUAACAUUAUUAUAUAAUAAAUUGAAAAGAAAUAUUUUUACACUUAUAAGGAAUGUACAAUGAGAUUUUAAAGUGCUAAUAAAAGUAUAUUUUUAAUAUAUAGCAUUAUUACAUAUAAAUGUAAGAUGACACAUUUUUGGGAGCCCUUCAAAUUUGAAAGUCCUGUGCGAUUAUACCUUUCGCUCGCCCACAACACCGCCUAUGUUGUCCAUGAUGACAAGUGCCCUUUUUAUGUCGAAAUUGUUGUUUUACCAGACUGAUAUCUCCAUCAAUACUACUUAUUUGAAACUUCUAUUUCAAAAUGUCAGAAACAAGUUUUUCUUGCAAAUCAACCAGACCAUGUCUACAUGUAGUGUCACUAACGUUGGCAAGGAAACUUGUGAAUUCAAACUUACAAUGAAUUUGGUUAUAAAUGGUUUUGGCAGUUGUUGUUUUACCCAACUCACCCAUCCCCCUAAUUACAAUCAUGACAACGUCAUCUGAUCCACCACUUGAAAGAUGAUUGAUAAAAUCAUCGUGGGGGAUUUUCGAGGAAUUCGAGUAGUUGACUGCUUUUGAAACUUGGUCUCACAGACGGCCACAGUGAGGUAGCAGCUGUGGAGUACUCCUUUAUCCCAGCAUUCCUUGACGACGUCGUUCCUAAAUCUAAGGUACUUUCUGAUACUUGAUGCUUGCUCAAUGCUCAGCUAAAUAAGUUAGAGAUUUCUUUGAAUGAUUGCUUUAUGGAUUUUGAAUAUGUUCAGUUUUGUUGGAAAAUAUUAGUAUAUUAUAAUUAUUUGAGUUUGCUUGUUAGUUAGUACUAGCUAGUAAUGCCCGCGCGUUGCUGCGGGAUUACAAAUUGAUCUUAUAGCAGUGUAUAAAUUUGAGUUAGUAUCAGUGUAACAUUAAUUAAUCUAAACAAAAUUACCAUAGUGAAGGAAAAAAAUUUAUUUGCUAUAGAAAAAUUAUAGUUUUGAUACCUUAGACCAUCUCUAACCCUUGGGCUAAAAGCCAAAUUUUUUAACCCGGAAAAUUUGGCUUUUAGCCCAGAAACAUCUUUUCUGCUCCAACCCUACUGCCCUAAAAUUUUAGCCCGGAAUUAUUAAAGAAUGAACUUAGGCUAAUUUUUUUCUUAAAUCAAUUUUUUUUAAAAAUAAAUAUGUAGAUUAUUGUAAAUUAAUUUUAUGAACAUUUUAAUCUAAAAAAAAUUUAAAUUCCAAUAAACAUUUGCCAUUUAGCACAGGGGGAAAGCUGGGGGGGGGGUAUUUGGCCCAGAAAUAACAUUUGGCAUUUAGCCUAAAAUUUUAACAUGGGUUGGAGAGUGUUUGGGGGGUAAUUUGACUUUUAGCCCAGGUUUGGAGAUGGUCUUACAAAGGUAAUUUGUUUUAAAAGAUUGAAAGCCAGCGGUUUUCAAUCUUGAAAUUCCACAGCAUCCUUUGACUUUGAAAAAUAGCGACCAUCAUCGGAUAGAACUAUUGUACCACCUACAGGAAAGAAAAAACAAUGAGUUACUGCGAUAUUCUUAUACACAAAAAGAAAACACUUGACACUGAAUGAACAAAAUAUUCAAACAUGGAAAGCACAUCAUGAGGGAUAAUCUAUCAUUUUUGGCCAAGUGAGGAAUGAUAUCUUGAGUACCAAGAGAGAAAAAAGUAGUUCUACAUUAUUUUAUGAUACCUGAUGGGUUAGUCUUGUAUUUCACUUUAUUUAUAAAAUCGACUACUGAUAUGAUUACAACCUUGACAACAUCACCCCUAGUAUUGGAUGUCCAUCUAAUUUAACUUAAAUUUCUUCUUCAAUCUUGGAUAUACAUAAUGUUUCAGUUUAUGUUUUACCACACAAAAAAUUUUUGAGUCUAAAUGGGUUUUAUAAAUAGAUGAUAAAACUGCAUCUCAGUAGAAUCUAAGACAAUGAAAAUUGAAUAUUAUUUACCAUAAACUGACAUGCAAAUUUAAAUGCAAGAAUGCAAAUGAAGAGAUUCGCUUCAUCAUGUUCAACAAGGAAAUAAAUAGCAACGAAAAUAGUAUGAUUUGGUGACCCUUACCUUUAACUUAAUCCGACAAUAAGGCAUUAAAGGUUGACCAAACCAAAUUCUGCAAGUAAUGAGGUUGCAUAAAAAAUUUUGCCUCAAAAAUUAAAGCCACUAUCAUACAAAGGUUAAUAAGAAAAAUCCAACCCAAUAAUCACAUCUGUCUGAGAAGUGUAUUUCAGCUUAGAAAACAUGCAUGCUGUGUGUGUGUGUGAGAGAGAGAGAGAGAGAGAGAGAGAGAGAGAGAUGUACCUUCUUGUGGAAAGCAAAUGUUCAGGGCUGGACAAAAAGCUUUCGAGAUAUGUACUUGAGUUUUCUGGUGAAGUUCACACAUUCAGUAUUGAAAUUCAUAUAUAUAUAUAUGACAGAGUAAAAGAAUUCUAAGAUAAAAAAAUAAUGAUUAACUUAAAAUGAUCACACAGUUUCCCAAUAGUCAUUUUUCUAGGCUUUCCCAAUUUUGCUGAAAAGCAAAGUUUUUUGCUCGGUUGAGUGUUUGUGAAUCACUCAUAGUACUAAUUAAUUCUUCAAAGCAUGAAUAUCCCAAUGUUCCUUCAGUUUAGUAUAGAACUGCCCAAGGUAAUUGUAAACGUUACUUCAAUAACAGAGUUAGUGUUGUAGGACUCAGCAUAAGGAACAAUCAGAAAGAUGCAAAUGCAGAAAACUAAAUUAGCACCUAUAACACAUGGAACCUCACUUUCUCACAGUGGCUUAAUCUGUCCUCCACCAUUUAAGUAACCUGUUUAAUUCCAGUUAAUAUUACUUCCAAAAUCCCAAACCCACAUGAUGGAUAAUUCAACAUAUCAAACCACAUAUUUAUUUUUUGAAGCAUUAAUAAGUAGAAAAUUUGACAACCAAAAUCAAAUCAGGAUUGAGAACCUGGAAUUUAUUGGAAUUAGGGAUCCAUUAAUACAACCAUGCCUCAGUCCAAAACUAAUUUUUUUUAUUUGGCCUAAAAUAGAAAAAAAAACCCAAAACUUUAAAUUCAAAUAUUAGACAAAUAUAUUUGAAAAGGAUAAAGAUUUUAGAGACAAAGUGAGGACAGAGAGAUGGGGGAGCACCUUGGGCAAGGAGGUGGUUGACAGAUUUGUUGGAGGAGUCAGUCCAAUUUUUCACAAUCUCCUUCAAGCUUGCACCAACAAUUAAAAACAGACAAACACAACAUGAUUGCAGAACGGAAUUAGAAACGAUCUAAUUUUGGGAAAACCUGAGGCUCGAACGCACGUCCAAUGACAAUUGCUGCUUGAGUUUAGUAACAUUAAUUAAAUACAAUACAAUGUUUGCUUGUUUAAUCAUGUUUAGUGAUGCAUUGGAAUGCUCUCGAGGAAACAACUAAAGAAAAUACAUAACUUAGUAUUCGAUAAUGCACAUUAUAACUCAUUUUUAUGCAGAAAUUAAGGUCCCAUUUGAUAACCAUUCUGUUUUUGUCAACUUAAGUUUACUUCUCAAAAUGUAACAGAAUGCAAGGUUCUCAACUCAAACACACUUAAGUUGACAUCUGCAGGUGUAAGAGUAGCACUAUAAUGUAACAAAAGACUUAACACUACUCAAAAGAUUGCUGUUGAAGAAUCCAUAUUCUAAUUAGCACUAAUCACGACACGAAUACACUAAAGUCGAAACUUAAGUAAAAAACUAUGGAAAACAGAUGCAUAAUGACAGGGAGACACGAACCUAAAAAGCAAUCAAUACCUUUAACUCUUUGUUCAUAAGCAGCUUGGUAACACAUCAUUAAAGCUGCAGCCUCUCCGUUUAAAGCGUCAGAAGGAUUGGGAUACAGCAGAAGUUGUGGCAACAACACUUCAAAUACGUUUGCAAGAUCUGGAAACACAGGCAGAUGUAAGAGAAUAAAACUUGGAUUUCGGUACUUUCCCCAUGCUUAUAAGAGAAUUUAUUGUAAGUUUGGUCUUACAGGGUACAAAUAAUGAUAAGCCGACUACAAUACUACCUGCACAAAUACAGUUCUGUUCCAACACGGUUUCCUCAGAGGAUGCGGCUGCUGCAGAUCAAGUUCAAUCUUGAUUCUGUUUUGUAUUUAGUUCACAUGCUGCUAUUUAUUUGUAAUCCUACUUCUACACGUUUAUCAAUUGUAAUUAGUGCAAUGACCAAACAACAAAUUCCAUUAAAAAAAACUAACCAAAAAUCAAAUCAUAAAUCUCAGAAAGCCCAAUGCAUAAAAUUGCAGAAAUAGGGAAGGAAUCAUAAUAAAAACAAAUGAUACAAACACACACAGAGAAAAUAUAUACUUGUAUGUACUUAGCUACUAUACAAACCGCUCAUUCAAUUGCCUCAUUCCCUUUUCCCCUACUAAAUAAAAAAGGGGUCAGUGAAUCAAUACAAAUAUUCAUUGAAAUAAAAAAAAUUAAAAAAAAUCCAAGAUUUUCCUCAAGGGAUAUCCCAGAAUUUAAAUUCACGCUAAACCCAUUCCCUAAUUCUCUUAAUUGUAGGCAACCCAGAAACAAAAAAAAAUGAAAAACUUAUUCUCAGUAUCCAAACAGCUCAAAACCCAGAACCAAAAGAAAAAAACAUAAUACCUUUGCGGGUUUGGAGCUCUUUUCUUAUAAUUGUUACAGUAUUGGUGUUGCGGCUCAAUUCGUGGUGUUUCCGUCCGUAUCAAUUGAAGGUGGGGCAGCUGGUUUGGGUGAAAAAGAAGAGGAGGAUCCGAGCCUACAAACAAAAUCACAAAAAGCAAACAUAAACAUAAAACCCAUCUGCAAAUCUAAAACCCCAAAAAAAAAUUAAAGCACCCACAUUGAGAAAGCUGUCAAACUCACCAGGAAACGCCAACGUUUCUGGGUAAAAAAUUGAAUCGGAUCUAAUUGCACCGUUGUGGAUAAUUCCUCAGAGAAAGAUGGAAGGUCGGAGGGCGAGAAAAAUCGCCGUUUUGGAGACAGAAAGCUAGAGUUGAGAAAGGCGAGAGAGAGAGAAGCGAAAGCAAAGAAAAGUCGAAAGCAGGUCCAGCGAUGAUCGACGCGUGCGAAAAAUGGAAACGGAAGGGAAAAAGGGAGAAGAAAAGUGGAGGAGUAGGCGUUGCACAGCGAUGGUCAACACGUGCAUCCAAUGGGCAAAAACGUAAUCUCACUGUUCAAAGCAGGUCACAAAGGAGGAAACCAAGAAGAAAUCCAGGGGGUAAAAUUGUCAUCACACUGGUCAUCCACAGUGACCAGGGGGUUUUGAGUUUUAGUAUAUACUAGCAAAAAUGCCCGCGCACUGCUGCGGGUCUUGAAACCGUUGAAGAUGAUACUAUUGUUUAUUAGCUUUUUUCUCUUUGAAAUUUGGACUGGACACUUGAAUGUCAAAUGGGUUUUUUCUAUUUAUGUUUUGUACUGUGUUUCUUUGUUUGAUUAUACUUUGGGUUAUUGAUUUUGCUUUAUCCAACCUCUAGAGUCUAGAUGGUAGUGAUGUUUCGUUACUUAGAAGCUCUCAUUCCACAUAUCUCCGCCAUAUUUAUAAAAUCAACAACAAAAAACAGAAAAGAAAAGAAAAUACUCUAACAAACAAAAAAUGCAAGAUAAAUUUACCACUCGAUCAUAAUAGGGGAAAACAAUUAAACCGUAAAAUUAAAAACAAUUAAACCCAGCAAAUUUUCUGUAAUUAAAAAAACACAGAAAACAGUUGGCAACAAAGAUUUAGAGUUAAUUUAUACCAUGGAGUGCCAACUGAUGGACAUAAACAGGAUGCAAAGCGAAAUUUGAAAACAAAAUAUUCCAAAACAAAAAAAGAAACAAAGGUGGAUCAUAUAAGAAUCUUCUUUCUUUAAUCAUAUUGUAUUGCAUUAUUUCAAAAACUAAGUAUCUAAUUUCACCCAAAAAAAAUUACCUAGAUCAAAUAUUUCACAAAAAUUAACAACUCCAGAAGUUACCUUCCAAGAGAUGAGUUGGUAGCUUCUAUCACAAAAUCAAACACAAUUUCAACAUAAACUUGAAAUUAAGGAAAUGACUUAACACUAUAACGAUUCGAAAGCAUUGGAAUUUAAAUCACAAUUCUUACAAAUUCAGCUAGAUUAUGACUAUAAUUCGUCAGUAGCUCAACCCUCUCUUGCUCAUACAUGAAUAUCGUCUUUCGGAGGCCAUGGCUGCAACAAAAUAACAGUACAAUUUUCAUUUCCCACUACCAACUGUGCGGCAGAUGGACUUCUGUGUAGAUGCAAGCUCGUGAUCUGGGAAUGAUUCCUCCAGUCAUGUUUUUCUGCCAACAUAUUAAUUUUGCUCAAUGAUAAUGCCAUAAUUGAAAUAUAUUUUUUUUAUAGAAAUGAUGUAAUGGGUUAAUCUGAAAUUCCGAACUUUUGGUGAUGAUUGAACUCUUCCAUGACUGCUACUGUACUUGUUCAAAUCAACAUAAUUUUAAACGUUCACAAACGACACAUUCACAGCGCCACAAUAUUUAACAACUACUAUGCACAGUUUUUUAAAAAAAUGAGUAUAAGACUAACCUUUACAGAGCACCUACGAAUCACUUCCAAAAUGAGAUACACAAAAUCUGAAACAGCACCUAUCCAAAGUUAAAAAACAAAACUAAUUAAAUAACAAUUAGGCAAGAACAACAAAAUGUGACAAACAAAAUGAAAACACCAAAAUCAUAUAAGGGUUGAGAAUCUCUAAUUUAUUAGAAUUAGGGAUUCCAUUAAUACAACUAUGUCACUCUAGUACUAAUUUUUUUAUUUGGCCAAAAACAGAAAAAAACUGAAAACACCAACUUAAAAGAGUAGGCAAAUGAAAAACAUUCACACCCACACGUAUCAAUUUACACAUAACUUUCAAUUUUGAAUCAUUUGGGCUUCCAAAAUUUCAUCACCCAUAAAUUCAUAUAUAUUUCCAUUAACUCUCUCUCUCUCUCUCUCUCUCAAAUUACAAAUCUCAAAAGGCUUCACAAAAAAGUUAGCAAAAGAAGCGCACACCCGCAACAAUAAUUCACUUUCCUUUCCAACUAUCUUCUUCUCUCUCUCUCUCUCUCUCUCUCUCCAACAUUACAAUUACACACAGAGAUCCCAUUCAAUCAAGACUCACCCCAAAAUUGAUAUCAAGCUUUGUUGCACAGAAUACCUUACAAUUGACAGCACGUUUACAAAGGUUUUGAAAGGCUUAGAUUCAACUUUCAAAUAUGUAAGAGUCUGAGCUUCAAAACCAAAACAAACCCAAUUGCACUUUUAGUUCACUAACCCCAUUGAAUAAAAUCCCAUUCAAUAAAAUAAUAGAAAAUUAAACAACCCAAAAAAUCAAAACAACCCCACUUGUAGUUUUAGCUCACUAAUCCGUUGGAUAAAUUGAUGCAAAAUGCAAUCAGAAAACAUACAAUUAACAACAACCCAGAAGAGCCAUCCAAAACCCCAACCAAUUAACCAAAAAAUACCACUUGUACUUUUAGCUUAGUCUUCCGAUUGAAUCAGAUCUAUCAUCAAAUUUCAAUCAGAAAAUAGAAAAUUAAGAACAACCCAGUAUUUCCACUCACCUGCUGUGAAACUUGUCCCUGUUGAGCAGCAGUAGGAACGGGUAAACUGGGUGAUAUAUACAACCGAUUAAAACACUCAACUUUAGCUGCUUCAGCUACAUAACAGAAAAUGAAAAAAUGUUAGCACAACAAUAUAAAUGCAGGUAAAGGAGUCAAUAUAUGGAGCAACCAUCUUGCCCUCCCCCGACUGUUUGUCUCUUAAGCUAAAUUGCCAUCCAAAACAAAUAGAACAAACACUCACUUACCCUCUAUUUCUGUAAACGGAUCCUAUAACCGACAUCGAAGCUAAGCAUCUAAAACCCUCCUUAGAAGUUAGAAGUAAAAGUUCUCUACUUUAUGGAAGAAUUAAGCACCUCUAUGCCACUAAAACCAAAUCAUCCUAAUAAUUCACCCUCCAAUUUCAUGCCCGAACAAAAGAACGGAAAUUAAUCACCAUGUUCUUUAAUUGAAAAAUAAAAAUUGGGGUAAGCCCAGUUCUCAUUUCUAGCUGAGUUCACUCCAUCUAAAUGCUCAUCCAACAAAAUAAAAAAAAAUAAAAAAUUGAAAUUCCAACUUCUUUGUUGCCUCCUAUAUUUUAUUAGCAUUCAAAAAGUCCUUAACUUGGAGCUUUAGAGCUUUGGAGCUAGGAUUUCAAAAGGUGAGCUUGUGAGUGCAUGAGAGAGAGAGGGCAUACCUGGCCAUGGGAGAGAACGGAGGCUAUAGAAAGAGCUAUGCUCGGCUUCUCGCCGACUUGCAAAAAUGUAAAAGCACAAACAGAAAGGAGAAUCAAAGACAAAAUUCCAAGAUAAAUUCCAAAAAUUCAAAAUUAUACGCGAGAGAGAGACCUUGUUGAUAUUCGGAGUUAGACUCAGAGAGACGAAGCUCCGAGUUACAGAAAUGGAAGCCAGGUUUGUGCGGUUUUGGUUUUCAGAAGCAGGAGCCGACACUAUUGCAGAGAUCGGCUAGAAUUGGUGUUGUUGAUGCUAGGGUUUGAGAAAGGGGAAUGAAGGCCAAAUGGGUGUGUUUGGAUCAAAACUUGAACUUUGGGCUCAAGAAAGGAGUUGGCCCAAAAGGAGGUCCGAAAAAGAAGAUAGCCGAAGCCCAGUCAAAGCCCAGAAAGCAGGGAAAUGCCUUUUCUGACUUGGUGCAGCUCAUGAAGACCACUUGCUUACCUACCCAAAAGCCAAGUGGUGUAGACUGAUCAGCUACACAGCCCAUAAAGUACUUUAUGGUGGCAUUACAUGUAAUAUAACUGAUGAGUCAUCACCCUCAAACCGCAUUCGGGCAAAGUUGCUGCUACCAAAGGCCAAGCCGAGUUGUCUAUAUAAGAAGAAAGAAAAUCCAGGAUUAAGGACACUCAAUCAAACAAACAAAUGCAAGCACAAACUCUGCUUAAAGGCAGAUUUGCCUUCAAAACAAAGCUGUAGUCAGCCUUCAUCCCUUUCGGGAUAAACCUCCAUUCCUUUCGGGAUAACCCUCUCUUCAACCCUUUGUAAUAGCUCUGCUACCUUGUUAAACCUUGCUGUAGUAUCGAUUCAUCUUUUGUAAUCUCUCUCUCCCUACCCCUCUAAAGCUUUCAGACCUUUGACAAAACUACAAAGAUAGGAACCUGCAAGACGAGCAACCUUACCCGAUAAGGUUUAACCUUGCCCGACCUUCUUUACUUUAGUCUUGUCUUUUCAAUAUGUUGUAUACUUCCAGUUAUAUGCAAGUUAUUUCUAGCAACAUGACUAUUAAAAAGCUUUCUCAGCACUUGAAUCCGAUUUGAAUAUAUUGUCAGUGUUCAAACCAGAUCCAAGUCCUAAGCCCUCGGGCAUGUAAAUCUGAUCAGUUAAAAGUCCUUGGCCUCAAGGCAUAAAAAAGAACUUUAUGUGGACUUAACCCAUCCACGACAGUCCUUGAUAAACGAGAAGUCCGAAGUUACUUGGGGUGCAAGUAAUCAACCUACCUUCUAGUUUUCUUUCUAUUAUGUCAUGAUUAUCAUAGAACGCUUGAGCAUGGAAUGGAUUCUAAUGGAAAGCCUCAAGGCCUACACCUAAGGCCCCACAAAGGCAUCUAUUUGGAUUCAUUCCGUUCGGCGAUCUAAAGAGUCUAAGUAUAAGAAUGAACUCUGAUGGGAAGCCUCAAGGCCUACACCUAAGGCCUCACAAAGGCACCUAUUUGGGUUCAUUCUACUUCUUGGAUUCGGGUAAUCAGAAGUAUAAUAGUUAGAAAACUCCUACAAUCAUGAGAACAAAUAUGAUGCGUUCGAGCACUGGUUUAGUUAUUUAUGGGAAGCCUCAAGGCCUACACCUGAGGCCCCACAAAGGCACCUGUUAUAACUAACACAGUUUCUUGGAUACAUACAUAUAUACAACUAAAGCACGACAACCAUUUUACAUCUGCCAUGCUAAAGAUGGCAGUGGCACGCAUGAGCACCUAAAUGUUAACCUUGAUUAUGAGCCUCAAGGCCUACACCUAAGGCCCUACAAAGACACCUCUCAAAGUUAACGAUGUCCUUCUCUUUCAGCCUUGCCCGAAGAGUCUUACCCGACGAGACUUGCCCGACAACGCCCGACAGCGAAGCAGAAGCCCGACAGCAGCCCUCAACCGGCGCCAACCUCUAGGGGAGCUGUGUGCUCGUCGGCCAGGAAACAUCCCCGACGAAGAUUCCUGACACGAACAUAGUUUUGGCACGCCCGGUGGGAUCCUUGAUCAGAAGAUAUAUGUCAAAAUGCCAGAAGGUUUACAAACUACGUUACUACAAAUGUUGCAAAGGUUGGAAAGAGACUUAAAACCAGCCCGCCUGAAGAGCUGGUGGUAGACAAACCUGCAGUUCCCUUUUCAGAAGUCCCUGUAAAUAUGAUCAAUAUGACAUGGGCUGAGAAAGGAAAAGAAAGUAUUACAAAGGAACCAGAAGAGAAGAGAUUGGCUGAAAAACCUACAUGAUGGGUCAUUAAAACACCCGAAUAUCCAAAAGCAGCCAUAAUCAACGGGAUGGUCAUGUGCAGUAAGUGCCACUGCGAGUGUGAGCUUGAAAUUCCCCCGGCUGGAGUACUCAUUGACCGUGAACUAAUCAGGAGAAAGGAAGAAGACGUCAGAAGAGAAGCCCGCGAGAAGAUUAAGCAGGCAACAAAAAAGGACACUUCCCGGAGCGUUUUUCAACGACUAGGAGGUGAUUCCCAACCCAAAGCUUUGUCAGAGGUAUUUCGAAACCAUGAGGUUUCUGAUGAAGCGGAAGACAUGGAAGCCAGAAUACGAAGGGGUGCAGACCAUCCUCAAUGUGGCCAGAUGGGGAGGGAAAUCAAGAAGAUUGAUAGCAUGAUCAAUCCUAGUAGAAAAGAGAAUCCUGCCCACCUCGGGCGAAAAUGGUAUGUAGUCGGGAAGAACGGACAGCCUACCAAACCAAUGGGAGCCUCUAUGGUCAGGAGGGUUCAAAGGCAGCACAAAGCCUAUAUGAAUUCCUUGAAGACCCCCACAACAUCUGAAGCCUCCAAAAAUCAAAAGCUGGAGAAAACAGCAUCUGGAGGAAGUAGUCAGCUCCGUUGGAGAAGUAAGAAAGAGGUGGAAAAAGCCGACAGCAAGACGGAAGGCGAGGGGAAUCACGUGCCGCAGAGCCAACACCCUGGGAAAUACAGGAUCUUGAGGAGAGCUCAAGAAGAUCUAAUCAUGAUGCCAACCCCUGGGUGGAAGCCAGGUCUUACCCGCACUGAAACUAUUUCAUCUGAAAGGAGACCACAUUCUCUGCCCUUGGUGGAUCCUUUUGGUGAAGUUCCAAAACAAACACUGUAUGCGGGCAUGAAUCAACAACAACAGGAGGGGGCACCAAAACCAUUACUUCCAGCUGAUGCGAUGGCCUGGUUCGAUGAAUUUAUGGACCAGAUUGGGGACAAUAAAGAAGAUCCGCCCGAGCCUAGUAAUUUCCAUAUUAACAUGAGAUAUGUGUUGUUCGCCACAUUUGGUGCCAGACCUGAUCAACCCGCUACUAUGGAGGGUGAUUACUUGACAACUGAGCCAAUGAUGGCACAUGUCAAUGUAGAGGUAGUUGAAGAAGAAAGCUCGGGCAAGGCUGAAUCCUCAGAAGCAUCCAAAGGCGGUCCUCUAAGGAUUUACACAGACGAGAUGGUGUUUAGCCGCCCGAAUAGCUCGUUGGCCAAUCAUCUGAAACCUAUAUACGUUACAGCCCACUUAGAAUGUGUGCCCUUCAAAAGAAUUCUAAUUGAUGGAGGAGCAACUGUUAAUGUGUUACCAGCCAAGCAGAUGAAGAAAAUGGGAAGAGGUACGGAUGAUCUUAUUCCCACAGACCUCACAGUCUCUAGCUUCUCAGGCGUUAUCACUAAGACUCAUGGAAUAUUGCCUCUAGAAGUGGAUCUGGGAUCUAAAAAGAUAAUGCUGGCAUUCUUUGUGGUGGACUGCACCUCCAUUUAUGGGGCCUUACUCGGAAGAUAUUGGAUCCACCAAGGUUUGGCUAUACCCUCCACUAUUCAUCAACAAGUGGCUGUCUAUCAUCAAGCGGGCGUAGAAUGACCAGGCUUUUGGGAGAUGGUAGAGGCCGAAUCACGGCCAUUUCUCCCCACAACCAAUGUUGCAGAAGCAAGUUUCUACAACCCCAAUGUAGGAAUCUUGAAGUGUUCAGGAGCUGACGAGAACAGCCGCCUUACCAAGGUGACGGCCCAAAAGCUUUUAGAACAAGGAAUGCUCCUUACUAGAGAGGAGUGAGAUAGACCUUGUAUCCUCCCAAAUCCCCUACACCAUCAAUGAGUGGACAAAAGAAGAGAGAUCAGGUAAUGGCAGUUAGAUCCCUGAUUAAAAGACUGCUGGUAUAUGGGAAAGGAAGAAGACAAGAAAGGGAGCUCUUGGACAGAGAAGAGCGUGAAUGGCAGGAGGAAACUUCAACCAGCCAGCAUGAAAGCAAGGAGGAAUCUUGCAGUGAAGAAUUGGAUGGGGCCAUUCAAAUGGCCGAGUGCAUAUAUGAUCUAGAUAGGCCAGACGACUUGCCCGAGAGCCCGGAGCUGGUCGAAUUUUUGUGUACAGAACCAGAUAAGCCACCACCAGAAGUCCAGGAUCCUCUGGAAGUUAUUAAUUUAGGAACAGAGGAGGACCCGAGACCAAUACAGAUCAGUGGUUUAUUGGGGGUUGAUGAUCGGGCAAGGAUUGUUUAUCUUUUGCAAGAAUUCAAAGACUGCUUUGCUUGGCAUUAUACCGAGAUGCCAGGGUUAGAUCCAACUUUGGUAGAACAUAGAAUGCCCAUCAAAGAGGGAUAUAAACCUGUCAAGCAAGCACCACGGAGGAUGUCAAAGGAGAUAGAAGAAAAGGUCAAAGAAGAGAUUGAGAGGCUAGUGAAAGCUGGCUUUAUCAGACCAGCCAAAUAUGUGGAGUGGUUGGCCAACAUCGUACCCGUUUUAAAAGCUGUAACAAAAGCGGUACGAUGUUGUGUGGAUUACAGAAACAUUAAUGGCGCUACACCAAAGGAUGAGUAUCCCAUGCCCAUGGCCGACUUAUCCAUAGAUGCAGUGGCAAAACAUAAAGUCCUAUCUUUUAUGGACGGGAAUGCCAGUUACAAUCAGAUAAAGAUGGCUCCAGAAGAUAUACAUAAAACAGCUUUUAGGUUUCCCGGUCAUGUGGGGGCAUAUGAAUAUCUGGUCAUGCCAUUCGGGCUCAAGAACGUUGGUGCAACUUACCAGAGGGCAAUGAAUGCCAUCUUUCAUGAUCUAAUUGGCCAGAGCAUGGAGGUAUACAUUGAUGACAUAGUGGUAAAGUCCAAAACAGAAGAGCAGCAUCUGGAGGAUCUCAGACAGACAUUAGCAAGGACGAGGAUCAACAAAUUGAAGAUGAAUCCAAAGAAGUGUGCGUUUGGAGUAAGAGCAGGCAACUUCUUGGGAUUCCUGGUGCAUCAAAGAGGUGUAGAAAUGGAUAAGAACAAAUCUCGGGCAAUAAUGGAGUCACCUUCACCUACCAACAAGGUGCAACUCCAGAGGUUACUGGGCAAAAUUAACUUUUUGAGGAGAUUCAUUGCUAAUUUAGCAGGCAAGAUCCAGCCGCUGACUCCUUUACUAAGGUUGAAAGAUAAAGAGAAGUUUGAAUGGGGGCCACCGCACCAACAGGCCUUUGACAACAUCAAGGCCUAUUUAACUUCUCCACCAGUGUUGGUGCCACCUCAAAGGGGAAAACCCUUGAAGCUGUAUAUCUCUGCCUCUGAAAAAUCAAUCGGAAGCUUGCUAGCCCAAAAUAAUAAGGGCGGGAAGGAGCAGGCAGUGUACUACCUCAGUAGAAUUCUGACCGAGGUAGAAACAAGGUAUUCCCCGAUAGAGAGAUUAUGCUUGGCUUUAUAUUUCACUACCAGUAAAUUAAGGCAUUACAUGUUACCUUGUCAAGUGCACAUCAUCGCCAAGACAGAUGUGAUAAAGUACAUGUUGUCAAAGCCAAUGCUCACAGGAAGGAUUGGGAAAUGGAUUCUAGCUUUAUCGGAAUUCAGUUUUCAGUACGUACCCCAAAGGGCAGUCAAAGGUCAAGCAAUUGCCGACUUCAUGACCGAGCAUCAAGAAUCUUUAAGUGAGGUGAUCAAUAUCCCUAGAAGCCUAGAGGUUACUAGCAUUUGGAUCCCGCCGAGAAAAGAUAUUUCGGGCAAAGAAGACUGGGUCCAGUAAGAGAUAAGAAGAGUGGCUGGUCUCUGGAUCACUCAUUGGAAGUUGUAUUUCGAUGGAUCCCACACUCAGAAGGCUUCAGGAGCAGGAAUUGUAAUUGUAAACCCUCAGGGAGUUUAUCAUUAUUAUUCAUUUCUCUUGGAUUACCAGGGGAAUACUAACAAUCGGGCAGAGUAUGAGGCCUUAAUUAUUGGUCUGGAAAUCUUGAUGGAUCUGGGGGCAGAAGAGGUAGAGGUCUUUGGAGAUUCAGAGUUGGUAAUAAACCAGUUAAAUAGGGAGUUCAAGUGCAGACAUAUUACCAUGGCGGGGUAUUACUUGGCAGCUACGCAAUUAUUGAAUUUCUGGGAUUCUGAGAUAUUGGUCAAUCAUGUUCCCAGGGAAUCCAAUUUAGCGGCCAACGAGAUGGCACAACUAGCCGCAAGAGUGCCAAUACAGGAGAGGAAAUAUGGGGUAGAUGUUGAGAUCCAAAGAAGAAACCUCCCUUCCAUCUUAGAAAGGGGAUUCAGUCUAGAUAUAAUGGUGGUAGAGGCCGAGAUAGAAGAUUGGAGGUCACCUAUUAUUCACCAUUUGAAGGAUCCUUCCUCGCCUACAAGCAAGAAGGAUAGACAGCAAGCAACCAAGUAUGUCUUAUAGGCGAAGAACUUGCUAAGGAAAACUCUAGAUGGGUUACUGUUGAAAUGCUUGGGCCAAGAAGAAUCCAUGAGGGUAAUGGCCGAAGUACAUGAAGGAGUUUGUGGAGCACAUCAGGCUGGAACGAAGAUGAUAUGGUUGCGUAGGAGGUAUGGUUAUUUCUGGCCCGACAUGGAAAAAGAUUGUAAGUCUUAUGCCCGAGGAUGUGAAAAAUGUCAGAGGCACGGACCUCUCCAGCAUGUGCCCUCAGUACCUUUAAAUCCAGUGGUCAAGCCUUGGCCAUUCAGAGGAUUGGCAAUGGACUUCAUCGGGAAAAUCUAUCCAGCUUCUAGCAGAGGGCAUACCUUCAUAAUUGUGGCAACGGAUUACUUUACCAAAUGGGUGGAAGCAUCAGCAGUAAAAUCCAUAAAUUCAGCCACAGUCAAGAAUUUUAUCGAGACCAAGAUCCUGCACAGAUAUGGGGUGCCCGAAACUAUUGUGACAGAUCGUGGACCAUCUUUUAUUUCAAAAGAAGUUGAGGAGUUUGCAAGUAAGUACAAAAUAAAGAUGAUCCAGUCCAGUCCAUACUACCCGUAAUCAAAUGGCCAGGCAGAAGCCAGCAACAAGAUCCUGGUCAACAUUAUCAAGAGAAUGGUGAUUGAUAGUCCAUAAAGAUGGCAUGAAAAUCUGGGGAACACUUUGUGGGCAUACAGAACUUCUAAGAGAGCAGGAACAGACACAACUCCUUAUGCUUUAACUUUCGGGCAAGAUGCAGUGCUCCCCGUGGAAAUCAAUGUGGGUUCUUUAAGAAUUCAAAAUCAAUUUGGAUUGCAUAGCGAAGAGUAUGUCGAAGCCAUGUGUCAAGGAGUUGAAGACUUGGAUGCCGCCCGAAUUGAAGCUUUGAACCAGAUUCAAGAAGGGAAACGAGUCUUUGCCCGAGCUUACAACAAGAAGGUGAAGAUGAAAUCUUUCAAGGAAGGGGAUUUAGUAUGGAAGACAAUCCUCCCUCUAGGAGCUCAGCUCAGGGGCUUUGGAAAAUGGAGCCCGACAUGGGAAGGUCCUUUCAUUAUUAGUCGUGUUCUAGAUAGAGGGGGAUACUACUUGGCGGACCUUGAAGGAAACAAACAUAAACAUCCCAUUAACGUUAAAUUCUUAAAGAAAUAUUGUCCUACGUUGUGGGAUGUCAGAGAUUGUUAUAUCGAAGAGGAUGCGAAGUAAAGCGAGCUUCGGGAUAUCAUUAUGCAAUGCGUAUUUAUCAAACAUUCAAGAUGGAAAGACAAGAGUUGCUGAGAUAAUGUAUAUUUCAUUUCGACAAAUUGAUGAAAUUUACAAAAGAUUCAAGGCCAACAUAUUACAAUCAAUUCUCUUCCUGGAUGCAAUGGUAUCUUCAGCUGAUUUUCUGAUGUCUUCAUGGAUGGAACCCGAUCAGGUGAUCGGGUUGUGCGACCAACAUGGGCCUGGUAGAGGAUCCUCAGACAAGACCAUCAACAUAUGUAAUGGUCAAGCCCGAUUUAUCACCGCAGCGAGCAGGGAGACAAACCGUCAAGAGGAAACCGCCUGACCAAGGAUGUUGGAGAUAGCGGGGCGUUCGACCAAGGGUGUUGGAGAUAGCAGUUCUUUGAUGAAAGCUUUUUUUCUCACGGAAAUGAAGUUUUAGGAAACCCCAUUCAAAGCUUGAGGAACCCAUUUCUCAAAUUCUGAAAUGCUCGAGGAAGAUGGAAGAAAAAAAUAAAGAGGAUUUGAUGGCUUGAUAGAAGAGUUUCCGAGCCAGAAUUUAUAGAAAACCAGAGGGUAGUUCAGAGGUCGUGAGAAGUUCAAGGGGCACGGGGUUAUCUUCAUCCUGUCGAGGGAACACGAAGUUCCAAAAGAUUGAGAUACACGCAUGCGGGUAUUCAAUCAAUGUUGGCGCUUGGGAUUCCAACCUUAACAUUAAUUGAAGGGGGCACUGUUUGGAUCAAAACUUGAACUUUGGGCUCAAGAAAGGAGUUGGCCUAAAAGGAGGUCCGAAAGAGAAGAUAGCCGAAGCCCAGUCGAAGCCCAGAAAGCAGGGAAAGGCCUUUUCUGACUUGGUGCAGCUCAUGAAGACCACUUGCUUACCUACCCAAAAGCCAAGUGGUGUAGACUGAUCAGCUACACAGCCCAUAAAGUACUUUAUGGUGGCAUUACAUGUAAUAUAGCUAAUGAGUCAUCACCCUCAAACCGCAUUCGGGCAAAGUUGCUGCUACCAAAGGCCAAGUCAAGUUGUCUAUAUAAGAAGAAAGAAAAUUCAGGAUUAAGGACACUCAAAGAAACAAACAAAUGCAAGCACAAACUCUGCUCAAAGCCAGAUUUGCCUUCAAAACAAAGCUGUAGUCAGCCUUCAUCCCUUUCGGGAUAAACCUUCAUCCCUUUGUAAUAGCUCUGCUACCUUGUUAAACCUUGCUGUAGUAUCGAUUCAUCUUUUGUAAUCUCUCUCUCUACCCCUCUAAAGCUUUUAGACCUUUGACAAAACUACAAAGAUAGAAACCUGCAAGACGAGCAACCUUACCCGACAAGGUUUAACCUUGCCCGACCUUCUUUGCUUUAGUCUUGUCUUUUCAAUAUGUUGUAUACUUCAAGUUAUAUGCAAGUUAUUUCUAGCAACAUGACUAUUAAAAAGCUUUCUCAGCACUUGAAUUCGAUUUGAAUAUAUUGUCAGUGUUCAAACCAGAUCCAAGUCCUAAGCCCUCGGGCAUGUAAAUCUGAUCAGUUAAAAGUCUUUGGCCUCAAGGCAUAAAAAAGAACUUUAUGUGAACUUAACCCAUCCACGACAGUCCUUGAUAAACGAGAAGUCCGAAGUUACUUGGGGCGCAAGUAAUCAACCUACCUUCUAGUUUUCUUUCUAUUAUGUCAUGAUUAUCAUAGAACGCUUGAGCAUGGAAUGAAUUCUAAUGGAAAGCCUCAAGGCCUACACCUAAGGCCCCACAAAGGCAUCUAUUUGGAUUCAUUCCGUUCGGCGAUCUAAAGAGUCUAAGUAUAAGAAUGAACUCUGAUGGGAAGCCUCAAGGCCUACACCUAAGGCCCCACAAAGGCACCUAUUUGGGUUCAUUCUACUUCUUGGAUUCGGGUAAUCAGAAGUAUAAUAGUUAGAAAACUCCUACAAACACGAGAACAAAUAUGAUGCGUUCAAGCACUGGUUUAGUUAUUUAUAGGAAGCCUCAAGGCCUACACCUAAGGCCUCACAAAGGCACCUGUUAUAACUAACACGGUUUCUUGGAUACAUACAUAUAUACAACUAAAGCACGACAACCAUUUUACAUCUGCCAUGCUAAAGAUGGUAGUGGCACGCCUGAGCACCUAAAUGUUAACCUUGAUUGUGAGCCUCAAGGCCUACACCUAAGGCCCCACAAAGGCACCUCUCAAAGUUAACGUUGUCCUUCUCUUUCAGCCUUACCCGAAGAGUCUUGCCUAAAGAGUCUUACCCGACGAGACUUGCUCGACAACGCCCGACAGCGAAGCAAAAGCCCGACAGCAGCCCUCAACCGGCGCCAACCUCUAGGGGAGAUGUGUGCUCGUCGACCAUGAAACAUCCCCGACGGAGAUUCCUGACACGAACAGGGUGUGUUUCUGUCUCUCUCCCAUCCCUCUCAAUCUCUCAAUCACCGACACCAACCCUUGAUUUGAGGAGAAAAAAUCAACCCUAACCCCUUUUUUGGCAGCCUCACUCCUCCCUGCCAUCCCACGCCCCUCUCCCUCUCUGCCUUUGCAGUCCAUGCCUUUCGAAAAUGGCAGAUAUGUAAAUAAUGCAAAAUCAAGGGCCCAUCUCACAACAAAACUGGCAAAACUGUAAAUAUCUUGAAAGCUGUUCAGAGACAAUAUUACCCUCCUAAUUUUAUAUAAUUACCCUCCAACUCAGCCACAGAUAUGAUGGCAGUGGCGUAAAUAAAGCAAAAUCAAAGGGCAAAACUUUGACUGUAGCUAAGCUAUAGUCAAAUCCUUCCUCAAUUUUAGAAUAGAUAAUAUGGGCCUAGCCCAUCGGAAUUAGGGUUUCUAGGUUUUGCUUUCUAUAAAUAUAGCUUAUAGAUUAGCAUGAAGAACAAGUUAUUCACUAUGUAAUCUCUUAGGGUUUUGUAGCCGUUUCGGCAUUCUCUUUUGUUUAACAAUAUUCCUAUUAUUUUGUUAGUCUCGUUCGUUGCGCACUCUGAUAUUCAACUUGGUAUCAGAGCAUGUUCGAUCUUUGGGGUUAAUCUACUCUUGUCAUGUUUGUCUAUUUCGUUGUUAUUCAUAUGAAAAAAAGAAAAAAAAAUUGAAUUAGAUGAUCGUGAGGAAAACAUGAAGUUCGUAUACUGCAGUGCAUUGAAACCAGAAACCCGCCUUCAACCUGCUACUUGUCUGCUGAUGAAGCCCUGAUCCAAUAACCACAAACUUGGAUCGAGUUCAUCUUCGCUGCACCUACCCCAUCUGAAUCUGCCAUGAACCUGCAUCACAACGUCUUGAAGUCGUCAUGUUGCGAACUGCAGCCCAGAUCCAUCCCGCCACCAAACACCAGUCUGUCUGCUUGCCUCACCCUGCAACCAGCCCAGAAAAUUAGCCGCCGUAGCCCCAUAAUGAUGAAACCCGCACCAGUUUGAUGUUCAGCAUCGCACUUGCCAUCUCCAUUGCAUGUAACCUGAUCAGUUCCCUGCACCACGACCUGUUUGCCAUUGUUGCUUUUGUUGUGUUGAUUUUUUGUGAGAAAGAAAAAAGAAAAAGGAAAUACAAUGAAAAGGAAAAAAAAAUUUGUUUUGAGGUUUUGGCCCACACGGGCAGAGAGGAAAAAUGGGUUGUAGGCUGUUUGCCACCCUUUUUUUGGUUUGAUGUCUUUGAGGCCCACACGAGUUGUUGGCUUGUUUGAAAUUGUUUUGUAACCGUCAUUCGAGUGCUUGGAAUUGUGAUCACUCGAGUGAUAGUAUUUGUGUUUGUUUGUUUGUUGCUUCAAUUGAGAUAUGGAAAUCUUGUCCAUUUAAUGACGGGUUCUUUCCAUACUCUCAACACUAGCUAGUUUGCCAACCAGAAUCAAGAAUCAAGUCAGGUCAAGAAUCAAGAACCAGUUUGCCAGUCAAGUCAAGUCAAGUUUGCAUGUCUGCCAGUCCAUAUCUGCUUGUUUGCAAACCCAUGUCGUAUACCGCCAUGAGUUUGACGGGGAGUGUUGGAAAAAUUAGUAUAUUAUAAUUAUUUGAGUUUGCCUGUUAGUUAGUAUAUGAGUCUAGCCCAUCCGAAUUAGGGUUUCUAGGUUUCGCUCUCUAUAAAUAUAGCUUAUAGAUUAGCAUGAAGAACAAGUUAUUCACAAUGUAAUUUCUUAUGGUUUUGUAGCCAUUUCGGCAUUCUCUUUUGUUUAAUAAUAUUCUUAUUAUUUCGUUGCGCACUCUAAUAUUCAAGUAGUUUAGUAUUCAAGCUAGCAUUCCAUAAUCUAGCUCAAUUUCAUGCUAGUUUAAAUACUAAACUGAACAUAUUCAAACGAGGUCAUCGACUGCAAAAGGUAGUGGAAAAGAUAAUUCAAACCUUAUGCUAAAAUGUUACCUGAACAAGUAGAUGAUGAAUAAUCAAGAGACAAAGAGAGGCGCGUAAGAGGAUCUUCGUCUAUUGGGUCGGAUAUCUGAUCUCCUUUAUCACUGACUGCCGGACCUUGUGGCUUCCAAUGAUGAAUAGAUAAAGAAAGACACGUAAGAAGUUCUUCGUCCAUGGGGUCGGAUAUUUGAUCUCCUCUGUCACUGACUGCUGGACCCUAUGUCUUCCAACGAUCAAGAGACCGAGAAAGACGCGUAAGAAGAUCUUUGUCCAUUGGGUUAGAUAUCUGAUCUCCUCUAUCCCUGACUGUCGGACCCUGUGCCUGGAAGAGUAUUGGGAGAUUCUCAGGACGAGUUUGAGGCUGAAUAUGACGGCCUGCAGGAAAAAUACCAGGAGGCAAGGAAAAACGUGAAUGCGCAAGGCUGUGAGGAUCAUGAUCAUGCACUGUUAUAGUACUACCCAUGUAAUUACUGAGAUCAUAAUCAUUAGAUGGCUCAUAAUUAUCAGCUCACUCCAAAUCAUGCGUAUUUUCCUUUAUAGGUCUGUUCCGCACUAGAUUAGCCAUUGUUCUCAUUGAUGGCAAAAUGUUUGCAAGUGGAGAAAAUUUUGGAGAUUUUCUAUUGAAAAAAUCCAUCAUUUCUUAGUCUUGCAGAGGAUAUUUUUUAUCUUAACAUGAACAGCCAUACAAUCUAUUCAACUCUCAUGGUCUCGCUAUCUCUAUAUGGUAAUGGCCAAGAGACUCAGGUGACCGGCUGAAUGUUACCUGAACAAGUAGAUGAUGAAUAAUCAAGAGACAAAGAGAGGCGCAUAACAGAAUCUUCCUCCAUUAGGUCGUGGUCUCCUCUGUCAUUGAUUGCUGAACCCUACGGCUGGAAGAAUACUAAGAGAUUCUCAGAACGAGUUUGAGGCUGAAUAUGAUGGCUUGCAGGAAAAGUAUUAAAAGACAGAAAAGUGCGAAUGCGCAAGGCUGAGAGGACCAUGAUCAUGCACUGCUAUAGUACUACCCAUGUAAUUACUGAGAUCAUAAUCAUUAGAUGGCUCAUAAUUAUCAGAUGACUCCUCAUAGAACCGAGCUGGAUGUUGGUAAAAAAUAUAACUAGCUUGGUCCAAAUCAUGCGUAUUUUCCUUCAUAGGUUUGUUCCACACUAGAUUAACCAUUGUUCUCAUUGAUGGCCUAUAAUAAUCAGAUUUUCUUGAAAGUUGGAGUACUAUAACUUCAACUUUAUCCCCACUUUGCAAUUUGAGCUUAUCGUUCGAUAGUUGUCCUUGCCAAAGUUUAGGCGUAUCCCAAUAUCCGCUGCCUAAGUAAGCCUGCAACUUUGUACGCUUGGUAUUAUUUAGAACAGUAAUGCCAAAUUUACUUGCAAAUGCAUAUUUGUGAAAGAAGCAUAGAGUCAACCCUUCAAAAGUACGACCAUCAUUCGGGGGAAUAUCAAAACUAACUGUAUUGCCAUGGUUAACAAACUCAAACCAAUCAGGAACAAAAUUCCCAUAGAGUAAAACGCCACCAAAUCCGCACGAAGUCCAUCCCUACAUAUACAAUGCAAGUGUCAUAUAUAUAUAUAUACACACACAUGUAAACGUGCGUUUGCGUUUGCAUGUGCACGAUAGGAAGGCAAUGAGAGAGAGUGUGUGUGAGGUACCUGUAGGAUGUUCUUCCCAAAAUCAGCUGUGAGAUUGGUGCAGUUACUCAUAUCAAUCAAUGUCAUGAAGUUUAAUGACUUAUCCAAGCCUGGAACCUCUGUGAGUUUGGGCGAAUCACUUACCUUCAACUCUGUUAUAUUUGACAUUUCCGAAAAAUUGGGCAUUGUUUCCAAUGCAGGGCAAUUAGCGGCAUACAGAAAUUUCAAAUUUGUUGGUAAAGUAGGGAUUGUACGAAGGUAAAGGCAGCCAUUUAACCCCAAUGUUUCAAGCUUUGUAAGACCACUUAGGCUGGGUAGGGUAUGAAAAUAAUUCCAUCCAAGAUCCAAAAGAGUGAGAUUCUUCAAUCUAACUGUAGAAGAUGGUAUUUGUCUUAUGGCUGUGAAAUCUGCUUCAAGUAUUCUCAAUGAUUUCAUCUCCCCUAAAUCCUCAUGCACUUCACUGAAUUCGAAACAGCCAGUAAGAAGAAGAGUCUCAACAGAUUUCAACUUAUAGAAAUCCCUUGGAAGAGAACUAAGCUUUUCACAUUCUUUAAGGUUCACCAAAGAAAGUUUUUGAAGUUGACCAAUGGAGGGGUGAAUCUCGGACAAACUCCCACAAUUUCCAGUAUCAACUCUUCAAGAUUUGGGACUUGUGAAAAGUCCGGUGAUUUAAUUAGAGAGUAUGAACGACUGAGAUUCAUGAUUUUCAACCUCUCUAGCAACUGUUACAGAAAACCAAAGGAAAAUUGAAAUUAAUAUCCAAAAGGAAGAUGUCAUAAAAAAAAAAGGAAAUCCAAAAACAAAUAGAAACAGAACAUCAUCAUGUGUAAUUGAUGUACCUUAUAACCCUCCCAAACUUGUACCAGUUUGCUACACUGCAUUUCUAAAACAACUAGUCUUUGUUGAUCAAAAAAGUCAUCUGGUAUGGACUUUAAAGGGCAUCCUACCCAACACAACCAUAUUAACUCUUUGGGAAGGUGUUUGUAUUCUCCAUUGAGCUGAACGUCUUUGAGAUGAAGGAAUCUCAGUUUCUUCAUAUUGGCAAAUGCUUCUGUACUGAAGCUAGGCAGGCUAGAGCUUCGAGGCCAAGGAUCAGGGAAAUUUAGAGCAAGUCCUUCAACUUCUUCAGUUCCCUGUUAACAAAAGGUUAUAUUCAUGUGUAGGAAAUGGAUUAUUUGCAUCUAUUUACAUGUGUUAUUUUUACUAAUUCAUAAAACACUCAUUGUCAAUUAAAAUCUUAUGACAUCUUCCUAUGAAAUUAAAACAGAACAUGAAUAAGAAAUAUGAGAUUAUUGUCAAUUAAUUUCAUAUUAAUGUCAUAAAAAAUUACAUUUCUACCUCAUAUUUCUUAUUCAUGAAUAAGAAAUAUGGCGUAGAAAUGUAAUUUUACACAACCAAAUUUUACUGUUUUUUUUAAGCCUCACCUACAUGUAAUCAUAACAUAUCUCUAAUUAAAAAAUUAAAAAUAAAAAAAACUUCUCACUCCGACAUUCUAUCACUCUCUUCCUCUCUCCUUCUAUUUGAAAAACAAAAAUUAAAAAAAAUUCUCACACACUUUGUGUGUGCCCAUAUGCUAGUUAUUCAUUAGGCAAAAUCACCUACGGUGAUUAUAUUUACACAUAAAUGUUGGUUAGUGUAUAAUAGACAUGCGCGGGUUAUAUAUAUGUUUUCAAGUAGGAUGCAUUAUGCAAAAUUUUAUUGGGAAUGUACUUACAGAUUUAUUUCUCAAGACUUCGGCGGCCUCUUGACAGUUCCACAACCUACUCCAUUUUCCAGGAUGACCAAGAGAUUUUUCAGAAAUGAUUACUCUAGCCAUUUCUCGAAGCAAAUCAUGCAUAUUCAACUUGUUGCCUUCAACAGUUACAAGACAUCUUUCACGGAGGAUAGUGAUUCCUAUUGAUGCAAAAAAUCCACAUCCAUCUAAUACUUUUGUGACAUAGUCCUUGUCCUUUCCAAUAAAGAAACAAGAUAUGUCAAGAAAUAUAGCCUUCUCUAAAGAAUCUAGCCCUUCAAAGCUUGUUCUGAGUUGAUUUACAAUGUUUCCAUUUGGACAUCUUCCCAAUUUCUCCAAUUGACUUUCCCACUCUACCAACGAUCUUCUAAUCAAAAGAGAUCCUAAAACUUCAAGAGCUAGUGGUAAACCUCCACAGUAAGAAACCACCUUUUUUGAAACUUCAAGAUAUCCUUGAUUAGGACAACUAUUUUUAAAGGCAUGCCAACUAAAUAGCUCAAGAGCUUCUUCUUCAUUCAUUUUCGUAGCUUGACAUGCUCUGUCCACAUUUAGUAGUAGACGUUCAUCUCUUGUCGUUAUGAUAAUUCUACUUCCAGGACCAAACCAAUCAUGACUUCCAACUAUUGCAUCCAGCUGUUCCACUUUAUCUAUGUUGUCCACGAUAACAAGUAUCUUUCUAUGUCGAAAUUGUUGUUUUAUCAAACCGAUACCUUCGUCAACACAGCUUAUUUUAUGCUUCUUUUUCAAGAUGUCCGAAAUAAGUUUUUUGCAAAUCAACCAGAUCAUGUUUACUUGUAGCAUCGUGAACGUCGGCAAGGAAACUUUUGAAUUCAAACUGAGGAUGAAUUUGGUUAUAAAUGGCUUUGGCAGCUGUUGUUUUACCUAAUCCACCCAUCCCCCAAAUUCCAAACAUGAGAACAACAUUUGAUCCACCACUUGAAAGAUAACUAAUAAUAUCUUGAACGCGUGAAUUGAUUCCAACUAUGUGCUUGGCCACAUGUAAUUCGUUAGCGCUGGUGAGCCUUUCACAAAUAUUCUCGUCAAUAAUUUUUUUAAUGAACUCUGCUUCGUCCCUGAAAAUUGAAUUCGUAAGCAUUAAUGGGGCUCAAUGAAGGCUCAGUAGGAGAUAUCAGUACAUAAACAAUUUUCUUUCCUUCUUCCCUUCAUAUAAUAUAUACAUAUAUAUAUAUUAUAUAUAUAUAAAAGUUAGGCGUAUGAGUUAAACUCCAAUUACGGUUUAGGUUACUUAUGAGAGAUUAAGGUGUAUUCAUUAAGCAUGUGAAUGAAUGUUUAGAUUAUGUAAAAUGUUAAUUAAGCAUGUCAAUUAAUUAAAAGAUUAAGUCAUUCACUAAAAUUUGCAGCUUCUGUGAAGGAUCAACGUGAGAGAUUAAGGUGUAUUAAUUAAGCAUGUUAAUUAGAGUAAUACAACUUAAAUCUUGAAAAGCAGCUGAAUGAUUACCCAUUGUUAGCGAUUUUAAGAUGGUGGCCAGACAAAUUUGCAGCUUUUGUGAGAGCCUCUCUCCACGGCUUUAGCCUUUCUUGUUUAGCUUCACGUUUCUUGUCAUCUUUUUCUUCACGGAUGUCAUUUUCGUGCUUCUGAAAUGCUUCGGCUAAAUCUCCGUCCUGCUUCCUGACAUGCGAAGGAUCAACGUGAUAGAAUAUUGGUAAAACAUGUCGCCCCAGUUUGUCUCUACACUCCAUGAUCUUCACCAGCUCGUCAAGACACCAACUCGAAUCCGCAUACAUCUUUGAGAAGAUAAUGACAGAGAUCCUCGACUCUUCGAUUGCACGAAACAGUUUCUCUUUUAUUUCUUCCCCUCUUGGUAGAUCGUCCUCAUCAAUAAAGACCUGGUACCCUCUGGCUUUUAAUGCCACGUGGAGGUGGCUCGUGAAGCCAUUGCGCGUGUCUUCACCCCUGAAGCUCAAGAAUACGCCGUACUUCCAGAGUUUGGACUUGGAGGAGGACGAAGAGGAGGCUUCGUGGGCUGUCAUGGCGGUAUCCACCGUUAUGGCUUAGCAGUGGUUCAGAUCACAGACUGAAAAAAUGGCUACAGCUGCGUUUGCGUUGCCGAAGGAUGAUAACAAAAGUCAAGAUCUUGCAGGGGAAGCCAACAAAAUAAACGGUUAAAAUUUAACUAAAAUAGUGUGUUUUGAUUCUUAUACUUUUAAGCCAAUAAGCCAAGAGGAAGAGGAGUGCAGAUAAGCCAAAUUACACGCGUGCAAAUUACAGGGGAAGCCGACAAAGGUGGAGGUUGAAAGUUUGAUUAAUGUCGUUCAUUGAAUAAUCAUGUGAUGGUGUUGGUUAAUGGAUAGUGACCCGCCUGGAUAUUUUUGUUGCUGGUUAGAAUUUUGUAUUUUGAGGAAUCUUCAUGAACAUAUUGGAAAUGUUGUCGAUUUUGAUAGAAUGUAGAUUUAAAUUGGAAUUUCAACAAAAGUAUAACUUGAAAUAGGUCGGCAAAUUGUCGUAUGAUUCGUUAAUCUAAUACGAAAUGUUAUGUAAAUAAUAGGUUUUGGAUUAACUUAUUAACAGUUCGGAUCUUUAACGGAUGAUCCGUUAAGAAUUAGUUAAGAUAUCGUUUUGCAUAUCUAAACAUUAGGGAUUGCAAUUUCGUGCAUAACCCAUUAUCCAACAUGAAACAUGAUUAGUUAAUGAAUCAAGGUGUUAUCAAUCACCUGUUGAGAACUUUUUAAGAUAACGGGUAUAACACGAACACGAUAAAUACGGCCAUUUUUCCAUGCCUAACUUAAAAGGUAUUAAAUAUUUACAUGAAAAAUAAGUUUUACUGAAUAAAUGUAGUUUUACCGAAUCAAGAUUUUGUGAGUUUCAGUCGAGAAGGGGUUUGGCGGAUUCACGGCGUCAGGGGUCGCAUGUCGGAGUGGGGAAAAGGUGGUGAUUAGCCAAGGAGGGGAUCGUUGGUGUCGUAACCGUCGCUCAAGGGGGAGAAAUUGCUCCGAGUGGUACACGACGUGUUAUUAUAUAAGUGGUGAUAAAUUUUAUCUCUUUUUAUUUUUCAUACAUUCUCUUACUUUGUGGUCGUCGAAUUAAAUGAAUUUAUAACAAUAAAAAGACAUAAGAGAGAUGAUACAAAUAAGAGAGAAGACAAAAAGGGAAAUUUUCAUAUAAAUUACCUUUCUCCUAUUAAUAUUUCAAAACAAAAAGUUUAGAGAAAAUAAAUCCAUGUAGUGGGGGUGGGUGGUUAAAUUGAUUAUUUUCCAAAAAUAUAUUUCAAUAACAAACAAUAAUAUCCAAAAUAAGUAAAAUUUAAAAUACAAUAAAACUAACCAGCGACGGAGCCACCUUGUUAUUAGGGUGGUCUUUUGACCCUUGUGACCUUUUAAUGAUUCUUAUUAAAAUAAUAGGCUUAAAUGUCAACAUGGUUCUGUGUUUUAUUAUAUCAGCCAAUUUAGUUCUUGUGUUUUCAAUUUGUCCAAAUUUGUCCCUAUGUUUAUAUCUGUUAGCCAAUUCAAGUCAAUCAGUUAAAAGACAGUUAAAUGACAUGUGCUUAGCACAUGAGAGGACAAAAACGUAAUUUUAUUGUACACCAACUAAACUUGGCCAUUUCGGUUUCUACAACAGUAAGUUGUUGUUUACAUUGGCUUUUGAGCUGGUUUUUUUUUGUCUUUUCCACGAAAGCUUCCUUCUUAAUUUCUUCUUGUAGUUCAAGGGAAUGCUCGUUCAUAUGUAAUCUAUCUUCAAUAUUUGACGGAUGCAGGUUGUAUGCCAUAUUUGAGCCUCCUCUACGCGAAGUUAACGGAAGAAGAAGAGAGGAAAAAAGCUCGAGAGAUUGUUAAUAUUCUGGAUGAGAGCGUUACUAGCUCGACCUUCCGCGUAACUCGCUUUGCAUUGUAUGAAAUCGACUACGAUGGCAAAUCUCUGAAAUCUUGGACGAAGAUUGAUGACAUCGGCCAUUAGACACAAGUUAAUUCAUAUAAUUGCAAGCAAGUUAGCAACUCUGAGGUCGAACAAAGUGGCAUACAUACAUGUUGCCCAAAUUUGAUACAUCAUGGAUGAGAUGUAAGUGGAAAUCUUUGAUGAAUGUAACCUAACGUAGCCUGCUAACGAAGAGUUUUUUUCAGUGUACUUUGAACAUUGUCACAGUGAUAAAAUAGUUCUAAUCAAUUGUAACACAUGUAUUUAAUUACAUCACGUGACAUGUUUUCGAGGUAUACACAAAGAGAAGAAGAUAUAAAUUAGGUUAUUCACACUUGGAAACAAGAUCGAUCGAUCCCCCUUAUGAAUUUCAAUGUGAUCGAUCUCCUAAUCAAUUGCCGGUUCUCAUAUCUAAUGAAUUGAAUAAAAUUUAUAGACAAAAUUUAACAAGAGUGUAUAAAACACCCAGAGGUUAAAGUCAUGCUAGUUGCUGCAGCAUCAUCACCACCACCGCUCCCACUCCAACCACCACCAUCAUCACUAUCAGCACCACUAGACCUUAAUUCUUCACGAGGAUACCGAAUCACCGGAGACUUUACUCCAUGAAAUUAUAAUUUUCAUAUGCACAUCAUGUUUCAUGAAUAAGCGGUUAAAAUUUAACUAUUAAAAUCACCCACUACUCAUCAGGGUUUUUUACCAUUGGUUUGGUUGUGUUGUUUUUGGUUUUUCUUUUGUGACACAGAAAGAAAUUGACAGUCAUCAUUUGCUUCACCAAACACUUGCAUAUGCAUUAUAAUUUCAUGCUCUCCAACUGCAAGCGUGUUUGUCUCUUUUUUUUCCCAUGCAAUCUAGAGAGGUUCUUGCUUUUUGUUGCAAAUGACACAUUAAUCAACGAAAUCAAAAGCAUCUUAUGCCAUUUCCCUUUCAUAAAAUCUAGCUCGGAAAGUAUAUAGAGCAGUACAAACCAGAGAACGUGGCCCGAAUGCCCAUUUUUUAAAAAGUAGUCAAAACCCGAAAGCAAUCAAGUCUGAUCAAUGCCAAAAUAGAAAUGACAAUCAGCUAGCAUAAGCUAUCCAACAACAGGCAUAUCCAAACAGAUACUAUUCAUGUUUCUCUAGAUGAUCAGUGCCAAAAUCCUCUUUCUCAAAAGCACUUCUAUGGUAAACGAAAGUCAUAGAGAUCAUACAAAAAAUCCAAAACACUAAAACACUAAAAUGGGCAAUGAGGAUUCAACACCAACAUCCAAUAACCAAAACUGGCACCAAAACACUAAACCCUAGAAUUGUAAACCAGCUUAAUUCAAAAGCAGCUUAAUCUGCAACAAUUUUUUUUUUUUUUUUUUUUUGAGAAGAGCUUAAUCUGCAACAAUUGAACAAAGAAACAGAAUUUACCGUGAUAUAAUGGAUCCCAGAACUGAUCUUAAUGAAACGGAAGCAGCCUUUGAAAAACAGUCUUCUGAUGCUGACGACUAAAUCUAUCUCCACUCUCAUACUUCCCCGACCAUCAUGUCUGGAGCUGCAAUGAAUCAAGGCAAGGUUGUACACAAAAACCCAAAAAUUCGCACACCAAUUUUCCUGAAACAAAAAAACGCAAUCAGAUUAAACAACCACACUGAAAACACCAAAAAACUAAAAUAAUAAGGCAACAGUCAAUGCAAAACGCAAAGACUUUAAUUUUACAGCGAUCGAUCUGCAAAUUUUCUUCCCAUUCAAAGAAAAGACAAAAAAAAAAAAAAAAAGCAGAGAAACCAACUGAAACAGUUCAAUCAGCCAGAAAAAUGGACGCUGAGAAAGAAGCAGUGCAAGCUGAACACGUAAAAAGAUCCAAUCUUUAACCAAACAAUCUAAACCCUAAACCCUAACAAAAUUACAAAGGAGAAGAGAGAAAUAAAAUUAAAAAAUUAAAUAUGUAUGCACCACACAUAGAUUGGAUAAACAUUUGACGAUGAAAUAUAGUACAACUGCAAUUAGGGUUUCAUCAAAUUUUAAGUAAUUAAUCCUUGAAAUUAACCUGAUGAUCUAAAUUAAACACAAGUUGAAAGGAAAUUAGUGAAAGGGAACAAACCUUGAUCCAUUUGCCUUGCACCAGAGACAUGGCUGGAGAACUAUCAGUCACUGUGGAAAGUCAGUUUUGGUGGGUUUCUCAAAUGCUUGCAGAUCUGUUCGUACACACAUCUUUAUAUAAAGCAGAGGAAGAAGAAGCAGCAACUAUAAAGCAGAGGAAGCAGCAGCAGCAGAACCAGAAGAAAUAGAGGCAGGGGAAGCCGAUAGAAACGGAGCAAAGGAAAUGAAGCAGAAGAAAAGGAGGGCAAUCCAAUGAUCCCAGCAGAGAUCAACCCCAAAGAUGUUGGACAAAAUUAUUAAAAAAUAAAUUUACUAAAUUACCCUUGAAUUAUUUUAUGCAUUCUUUCUUGCUGUUUUGAAUUUUUUUUUGGAUGAGGGGCAUUCUGGUCCUAUUCAUUUUGUUGAAGCUGUUACCCCAGAUGUUGGUCAAAAAACAUAACGAACUACGUCCAAAUCAUGCGUAUUUUCCUUCAUAGGUUUGUUCCACACUAGAUUAACCAUUGUUGUCAUUAAUGGCCUAGAGCUUGUUGAAAGAUGAACUUCAACUUUAUCCCCACUUUGCAAUUGGAGCUUAUCGUUCGAUAGUUGUCCUUGCCAAAACAUAUCCUCAUCCCAAAAUCCGUUGCCUAAGUAAGCCUGCAACUUAGUAUUCUUGGUAUUAUUUAUAACAGUAAUGCCAAAUUCAAAAAAAUCUCCAAGUGAAUAUUGGUGCAAGAAGCAUAGAGUCAGCCCUUCAAAAGUACAACCAUCAUUCGGGGGAAUAUCAAAACUGACUGUAUCGUGAUCAUGGUUAACAAACUUAAACCAAUCAGGAACAAAAUUCCCAUAGAGUGAAAUGCCACCAAAUCCGCACGAAGUCCAUCCCUACAUAUACAUUGCAAGUGUUAUAUACAUAUAUACAUGUAAACGUGUGUUUGUGUGUGCAUGUGCAUGAUAGGAAGGCAAUGAGAGAGAGAGAGUGAGAUACCUGUAGGAUGUUCUUCCUAAAAUCAGCUGUGAGAUUGGUGCAAUUACUCAUAUUAAUCAAUGUCAUGAAGUUUAAUGACUUAUCCAAGCCUGGAACCUCUGUGAGUUUGGGCGAAUCACUUACCACCAACUCUGUCAUAUUUGACAUUUCCGAAAAAUUGGGCAUUGUUUCCAAUGCAGGGCAAUUAGCGGCGUACAGAAAUUUCAAAUUUGUUGGUAAAUCAGGGAUUGCACGAAGGUUAGGGCAGCCAUUUAAGCUCAAUGUUUCAAGCUUUGUAAGACCGCUGAGGCUAGGUAGGGUAUGAAAAUCAUUCUCUUCAAGAUCCAAAACUUGUAAAGAAAUUAGACUCCCAAGAUCCUGAGGGAUUGCAUCACGUGCUAAUUUCAAACCAUAUAGGUUUAAAAGAGUGAGAUUCUUCAAUCUAACUGUGGAAGAUGGUAUUUGUCUUAUGGCUGUAUUCAUUGCUUCAAGUAUUCUCAAUGAUAUCAUCUCCCCUAAAUCCUCAUGCAUUUCUCUGAAUUUGGAACAGCCAGUAAGAACAAGAGUCUCAACAGAUUUCAACUUAUAGAAAUCCCUUGGAAGAGAUCUAAGCAUUAUGCAAUCUUUAAGGUUCACCAAAGAAAGUUUUUGAAGUUGACCAAUGGAGGGGUGAAUCUCGGACAAACUCUGACAACCUUCCAGUAUCAACUCUUCAAGAUCUGGGACUUGUGAAAAGUCCGGUGAUUUAAUUAGAAAGUGGGAAUGAGUGAGAUUCAGGAUUUUCAACUUCUCUAGCAACUGUUAUAGAAAACCAAAGGAAAAUUGAAAUUAAUAUCCAAAAGGAAGAUGUCAUAAAAAAAAGAAGGAAAUCCAAAAGCAAAUAGAAAUAGAACAUCAUCAUGUGUAAUUGAUCGUACCUUAUAACCCUCCCAAACUUGUACCAGCCCGCUCCACUGCAUAUCUAAAACAACUAGUCUUGGUUGAUCAAAAAAGUCAUCUGGUAUGGAAUUUAAAGAGAAUCCUUCCCAACACAACCAUAUUAACUCUUUGGGAAGAUGUUUGUAUUCUCCAUUGAGCUGAACGUAUUUGAGAUGAAGGAAUCUCAGUUUCUUCAUAUUGGCAAAUGCUUCUGUACUGAAACUAGGCAGGUUCGAAUCAUAAGGCAAAUAUAGAGCAAGUCCUUCAACUUCUUCAGUUCCCUGUUAACAAAAGGUUAUAUUCAUGUGUAAGAAACGGAUUAUUUGCAUAUAUUUACAUGUAUUAUUAUUCAUUAGGCAAAAUCACCUACGGUGAAUUAUAUUUACACAUAAAUGUUGUUUAGUGUACAAUAGACAUACGUGGGUUAUAUAUGUUUUCGAGCAGGAUGCAUUAUGCAAAAUUUUAUUUGGAAUGUACUUACAGAUUUAUUUCUCAAGACUUCGGCGGCCUGUUGAUUGUUCCACAACCUACUCCAUUUUCCAGGGUGACCAAGAGAUUUUUCAGAAAUGAUUACUUUGGCCAUUUCUCGAAGCAAAUCAUGCACAUUCAACUCAUUCCGCAUAGUCCCCUUAUUCCACUUAUUCUCCUCAAUAGUUACAAGGCAUCGUUCACGGAGGACAUUGAUUCCUAUUGUUCCAAAAAAUCCGCAUCGAUCUAACAUUUUUGCAACAUAGUCCUUGUCCUCUCCAAUAAAGAAACAAGAUAUGUCAAGAAAUAUAGCCUUCUGGUAAUAAUCUAGCCCUUCAUAACUUGUUCUGAGUUGAUUUCCAAUGUUUCCAUCUAGAUGUGUUCCUAAUUUCUCCAAUUGAUUUUUCCACUCUGCCAACGAUCUUUUAGUCAAAAAAGAUCCUAAAACUUUAAGCGCUAGUGGUAAACCUUUACAAUAAGAAACAACCUUUUUUGAAACUUCAAGAUAUGUUUGAUCAGGACAACUAUUUUUAAAGGCAUGCCAACUAAAUAGCUCAAGAGCUUCUUCUUCAUUCAUUUCCUUGGCCUGAAAUGUUUUGUUCACAUUUUGUAGUAGAUGUUCAUCUCGUGUCGUUAUGACAAUUCUACUUCCAGGACCAAACCAAUCAUAACCUCCAACUAUUGCAUCCAGUUGUUCCACUUUAUCUAUGUUGUCCACGAUGACAAGUAUCUUUCUAUGUCGAAAUUCUUGUUUUAUCAGAGCGAUACCUUUGUCAACACAUCUUAUUUUAUGCUCCUUUUUCAAGAUGUCAGAAAUAAGUAUUUUGCAAAUCAACCAGAUCAUGUUUACUUGUAGCAUCGCGAACGUCGGCAAGGAAACUUUUGAAUUCAAAUUGAGGAAGAAUUUGGUUAUAAAUGGCUUUGGCAGCUGUUGUUUUACCCAAUCCACCCAUCCCCCAAAUUCCAACCAUGAGAACAUCAUUUGAUCCACCACUUGAAAGAUAACUGAUAAUAUCUUGAACGCGAGAAAUGAUUCCAACUCUGUGCUUGGCCACAUGUAAUUCGUUAGUGCUGGUGAGCCAUUCACAAAUAUUCUCAUCAAUAAUUUUUUUAAUGAACUCUGCUUCGCUCUUGAAAAUUGAAUUCGUAAGCAUUAGUGGGACUCAAUGAAGGCUCGGUAGGAGAUAUCAGUACAUAAACAAUUUUCUUUCCUUCUUCCCUUCAGUUAAUAUAUAUAUUAACUACCUACUAGCUCGUAUGUGAUUUUAUGACGAACUUGAAUAAAAGGAUUAAUUGAUAAAUAAAAGUUAGGCGUAUGAAUUAAACUCCAAUUACGGUUUAGGUUACUUAUGAGAGAUUAAGGUGUAUUCAUUAAGCAUGUGAAUGAAUGUUUAGAUUAUGUAAAAUGCUAAUUAAGCAUGUCAAUUAAUUGAGAGAUUAAGUCAUUCACUAAAAUUUGUAGCUUCUGUAAAGCAUCAACGUGAGAGAUUAAGGUGUAUCAAUUAAGCAUGUUAAUUAGAGUAAUACAACCUAAAUCUUGAAAAGCAGCUGAAUGAUUACCCAUUGUUAAGAUGGUGGCCAGACAAUUCUGCAGCUUUUGUGAGAGCCUCUCUCCACUGCUUUACACGGAUGUCAUUUUCGUGCUUCCGAAAUGCUUCGGCUAAAUCUCCGUCCUGCUUCCUGACAUGCGAAGGAUCAACGUGAUAGAAUAUUGGUAAAACAUGUCGCCCCAGUUUGUCUCUACACUCCAUGAUCUUCACCAGCUCGUCAAGACACCAACUCGAAUUCGCAUACAUCUUUGAGAAGUUAAUGACAGAGAUCCUCGACUCCUCGAUUGCACGAAACAAUUUAUCUUUUAUUUCUUCCCCUCUUUGUAGAUCGUCCUCAUCAAUAAAGACCUGGUACCCUCUGUCUUUUAAUGCCGCGUGAAGGUGGCUCGUGAAGCAAUUGCGCGUGUCUUCACCCCUGAAGCUCAAGAAUACGUCGUAGUUCCAGAGUUUGGACUUGGAGGAGGACGAAGAGGAGGCUUCGUGGGCUGUCAUGGCGGCAUCCACCGUUAUGGCUUUAGCAGUGGUUCAGAAUCAGAUCACAGACUGAAAAAUAUAGCAAUAGCUGUGUUUGUGUUGGCGUGUUGGCUUGAAAAGCGACAGACUAUUAAAAUGAUGCCACGACCCAGAAGAAUAUUAAAACGAUGCCGUCCGACACGCAAUAGAAUGGUGAAAGGCCGUCCGACACGUCACAGGAUGGUGGAAAACAAACAAUAUUAUGAGAGAGAAAGAGCUAGCAAAUUUAUGAGGAAGAAACAAAACUCAGCAACAACAACAACAACAACAACAACAAAGCCUUUUCCCACUAAGUGGGGUCGGCUAUAUGAAUCCUAGAACGCCAUUGCGCUCGGUUUUGUGUCAUGUCCUCCGUUAGAUCCAAGUACUCUAAGUCUUUUCUUAGAGUCUCUUCCAAAGUUUUCCUAGGUCUUCCUCUACCCCUUCGGCCCUGAACCUCUGUCCCGUAGUCACAUCUUCGAACCGGAGCGUCAUUCGGCCUUCUUUGCACAUGUCCAAAUCACCGGAGCCGAUUUUCUCUCAUCUUUCCUACAAUUUCGGCUACUCCUACUUUACCUCGGAUAUCCUCAUUCCCAAUCUUAUCCUUUCUCGUGUGCCCACACAUCCCACGAAGCAUCCUCAUCUCUCCGCUACACCCAUUUUGUGUACGUGUUGAUGCUUCACCGCCCAACAUUCUGUGCCAUACAACAUCGCUGGCCUUAUUGCCGUCCUAUAAAAUUUUCCCUUGAGCUUCAGUGGCCUACGACGGUCACACACAACACGCCGGAUGCACUCUAACACUUCAUCCAUCCAGCUCGUAUUCUAUGGUUGAGAUCUCCAUCUAAUUCUCCGUUCUCUUGCAAGAUAGAUCCUAGGUAGCGAAAACGGUCGCUUUUUGUGAUCUUCGCUAGAUUGCUCCGGUCAUUAGUGUGGAUAAGUAUAUAAAUGGAUAGAGAUAGGAAAGCAAACACAAGAUGUACGUGGUUCACCCAGAUUUGGCUACGUCCACGGAAUAGAAGAGUUCUCAUUAAUUGUGAAGGGUUUACACAAGUACAUAGGUUCAAGCUCUCCUUUAGUGAGUACAAGUGAAUGAUUUAGUACAAAUGACAUUAGGAAAUAUUGUGGGAGAAUGAUCUCGUAAUCACGAAACUUCUAAGUAUCGGAGUGUGGUGUCGUCUUGACUUGCCUUAUCUGUCUCAUAGGUAGAUGUGGCAUCUUCUCUGGAAGUACUCUUCCUCCAUCCAGGGGUGGUAUCUUUAACUGGUGGAGAUGCACAAGGUAAUGUAUCAAUUUCACUUGAAGCUUACUUGUAGUUUCAGGCUUGGUCAAGCGCGAUACAAACCAUGUAGUAGGAGUCCCCCAAGUCGCCGAGCUAGGGGGUCUGCUGAAAGAGGUGACAGACAAGGUAAGCAAUCAGAGCUCCGACUGAUUGUUCACCUUCUCCCCAUCUUGCAGCAGCAUGAAGGAUAAAGAGAAGAAAAAUGAGAAGAGAUGAUAUGAGAUACUUUUGCUUUUGAAGAAGUAACUUUCCACAGGCUUAUUCUUGAACUGAGCUGGAGGGUUUUCUGGUUUCCUCCAGAGUAUAAGGCCGACUGAAGAAUUUGAGGGUCAAAACAAGUCCAUCAAAUCUAGAGUACGUUCCACCCUGCUGAUAUGGGAUACUUUUGCUUUUGACAGAGUAAUGGAUGUAUCGGCACGUGUGCUGUUACGCUUGUCUCCACAUGCUUCCUUGUAUCCUUCGCACUUGCCCUAUCUGUUCCUCAAGCAGAUGCGGAAUCUUCCCUGGAAACAUAAGAUGUUGAAGAUGAGUACUCGAGAGCAAUGCCAGGUAAGUAAUCAGGUAAGGGGUUCCAGGCAGUCAGUUCCUGGCUGGAAGCUUGAUUCCAAGUGCUGACUGAUUGCUCUCUUUCUCCUUGUCUUGCAGGUAAAAACAAGGCCAAAGGAAAAGACAGGGAAAAAGCAUGAUAUGGGAUACUCUUGCUUUUAACCCUGAUGAUAUGAGAUAUUCUUGCUCUAGUAUAGCUUGUUUGCAGAGGUAUUAUCGGGGGGAAAGAAAGCUGAAUAUUUCGAAAGGCUUCGUUGGGAGUGCCCUCUCAGAUAUGAUGAAGGGUUGAGCAUUUUUGCAGGUCUGCCUGUCCGUUGGGGAUGGAGGUCGACAUAUAUAGGAGUCUCCCUAACAACAAGUAGUAAUGCUAUUCCUUUACCCUGCUUGGUCAUAGCACGGUAGUGGGAGCUGCCAGUUUCACAUGUUUUAACUCUGUCAGAGCACUUUGAAAAAGUGGUCUGUGGUAUCUGGCUCUCGAGAUUCGGAGAACGAUGCCUCUUCGAUUUUUGAGAAAGCAAUCAUGCUGGGGGUCUGGCUCUCGAGAUUCGGAGAGCAGUGUCUCUUCGAUUUUUGAGGAAGUAAUCAUGUUGGGAGUCUGGCUCUCGAGAUUCGGAGGGCGGUGCCUCUUCGAUUUUGGAGCAAGCAAUCUUGUUGGGAGUGUUGUCUCGAAUGUGAGUAAAGGUUGGGCAUGUUUGCUAGUCUACCUUGCCACGAAGCACAAAGGUUGACACACAGGGACUUUCCAAUUAUCCAGCAAUGGUACUGUUCCUUUACCCUCUCUUCGAUUUUGAGAAAGUAGUCAUGUUGGGAGUCUGGCUCUCGAGAUUCGGAGGACGGUGCCUCUUCGAUUUUGGAGCAAGCAAUCUUGUUGGGAGUGUUUUCUCGAAUGUGAGUAAAGGUUGGGCAUGUUUGCUAGUCUACCUUGCCACGAAGCACAGAGGUUGACACACAGGGACUUUCCAAUUAUCCAGCAGUGGUACUGUUCCUUUACCCUUGUGGGUAAUAAUAUGGUAGCUAGACCUUCAAAAUUUAUGUGUCUAAACUUUGUUAGUGUUUGUUUCUUUGCUAUUCUUUUACCUUUCUUGGUCAGAGCGAUGUAGUGGGAGCUGCAAGCUUCACGUGCUCAACUUUGGCAGAGAACUUUGGCAAAGUUAUCUGUGGUACCCAUGAGCUAUUGUUGCGUGUGGGAAGUGGGUGAUUGAACAGUAAGAUUCAUGUGCUUUCUACUUCACCAGAAGUCUUCGACAGAAUGCCCAUAAUUUCUGCAAAGCUGAGUGUGCGUGUGACAGGUGCUGACAAGGCUAGAAAAGUAGGUGCCUCUUCGAUUUCUGAGAUCGGCCCUCGUGGUCUCUGAGCAGCCCAGCUUUUGAGAAAGCGAGCGCCUCUUCGAUUGAUUCGAAGAACGAUGCCUCAUCGAUUUUUGAGAAAGCAAUCAUGCUGGGGGUCUGGCUCUCGAAGAUUCGGGGAGCAGUGUCUCUUCGAUUUUUGAGAAAGUAAUCAUGUUGGGAGUCUGGCUCUCGAGAUUCGGAGGGCGGUGCCUCUUCGAUUUUGGAGCAAGCAAUCUUGUUGGGAGUGUUUUCUCGAAUGUGAGUAAAGGUUGGGCAUGUUUGCUAGUCUACCUUGCCACGAAGCACAGAGGUUGACACACAGGGACUUUCCAAUUAUCCAGCAAUGGUACUGUUCCUUUACCCUCUCUUCGAUUUUUAAGAAAGUAGUCAUGUUGGGAGUCUGGCUCUCGAGAUUCGGAGGACGGUGCCUCUUCGAUUUUGGAGCAAGCAAUCUUAUUGGGAGUGUUUUCUCGAAUGUGAGUAAAGGUUGGGCAUGUUUGCUAGUCUACCUUGCCACGAAGCACAGAGGUUGACACACAGGGACUGUCCAAUUAUCCAGCAGUGGUACUGUUCCUUUACCCUUGUGGGUAAUAAUAUGGUAGCUAGACCUUCAAAAUUUAUGGGUCUAAACUUUGUUAGUGCUGUUUCUUUGCUAUUCUUUUACCCUUCUUGGUCAGAGCGAUGUAGUGGGAGCUGCAAGCUUCACGUGCUCAACUUUGGCAAAGUUUUCUGUGGUACCCAUGAGCUAUUGUUGCGUGUGGGAAGUGGGUGAUUGAACAGUAAGAUUCAUGUGUUUUCUACUUCCCCAGAAGUCUUCGACAGAAUGCCCAUAAUUUCCGCAAAGCUGAGUGUGCGUGUGACAGGUGCUGACAAGGCUGGAAAAGUAGGUGCCUCUUCGAUUUCUGAGAUCGGCCCUCGUGGUCUCUGGGGAGCCCAGCUUUUGAGAAAGCGAGCGCCUCUUCGAUUUCUGAGAUCGGCCUUCGUGGUCUUUGAGCAGCCCAACUUUUGAGAAAGCAAACGCCUCUUCGAUUUCUGAGAUCAACCCUCGUGAUCUCUAAGCAGCCCAGCUUUUGAGAAAGCAAACGCCUCUUCGAUUUCUGAGCAGGCGCCUCUUCGAUUUCUGAAGCUCCGUCGAGUGCAGAUUUUUAUAGAGGGCUGGCAUUAAGUUCCAAAGCACACUUGAAUCUCCACCAGUAGAAGCUUCAUUCUUGCACUUCUAAGAUCUUGAUUUGUCCGACCUCUUCUCUCUUCAACACCUUUGAAAAUGUCUGGCCCCUCCGACCGUCGUUUUGACUUGAACCUUGUUGAAGAGGCAGCCCCGCCUUCUCCAGACAACACAUAUGGCGCCCAUCCUUCGUCUCCCCUACUGGUCCUCUUACCGUUGGGGAUUCCGUGAUGAAGAAUGAUAUGACCGCUGCGGUGGUGGCCAGGAACCUUCUCACUCCCAAAGAUAACAGACUACUUUCCAAACGGUCUGAUGAGUUAGCUGUUAAGGAUUCGCUGGCUCUCAGUGUUCAGUGUGCAGGUUCUGUGUCUAAUAUGGCCCAACGCCUAUUUGCUCGAACCCGCCAAGUUGAAUCAUUGGCGGCUGAAGUGAUGAGUCUCAAACAGGAGAUUAGAGGGCUCAAGCAUGAGAAUAAACAGUUGCACCGGCUCGCACAUGACUAUGCUACAAACAUGAAGAGGAAGCUUGACCAGAUGAAGGAAACUGAUGGUCAGGUUUUACUUGAUCAUCAGAGAUUUGUGGGUUUGUUCCAAAGGCAUUUAUUGCCUUCGUCUUCUGGGGCUGUACCGCGUAAUGAAGCUCCAAAUGAUCAACCUCUGAUGCCUCCUCCUUCUAGGGUUCUGUCCAGUACUGAGGCUCCAAAUGAUCCCCCUCCGGUGCCUUCUCUUUCUGGGGCUCUACCGACUGCUGAGACUUCUCCUAAGCAACCUUUGUGAAGGCUCCCUCUUGUGUGUUUAUUUUGACUCAUGUAUAUGUACAUAUUUGUAGCUUAUCGGGGAUAUCAAUAAAUAAGCUUUCCUUCAUUUCAACGUAUUGUGUUAAAUACACCAAAGCCUUUCUUCGCUAAGUUCUUUGAAUUUUCUUUUGUUGAAGCUUGUAUGUUGAAGCUUUCUGAGUGGAGCAUGUAGGUUGGGGUAGUGUUCCCUUAAUUUUCCCGAGUGAGGAAAACUUCUCGGUUGGAGACUUGGAAAAUCCAAGUCACUGAGUGGGAUCGGCUAUAUGAAUCUUAGAACGCCAUUGUGCUCGAUCCUGUGUCAUGUCCUUCGUUAGAUCCAAGUACUCUAAGUCUUUUCUUAGAGUCUCUUCCAAAGUUUUCCUAGGUCUUCCUCUACCCCUUCGGCCCUGAACCUCUGUCCCAUAGUCGCAUCUUCUAAUCGGAGCGUCAGUAGGCCUUCUUUGCACAUGUCCAAACCACCGUAACCGAUUUUCUCUCAUCUUUCCUUCAAUUUCGGCUACUCCUACUUUACCCCGGAUAUCCUCAUUCCUAAUCUUAUCCUUUCUCGUGUGCCCACACAUCCAACGAAGCAUCCUCAUCUCCGCUACACCCAUUUUGUGUACGUGUUGAUGUUUCACCGCCCAACAUUCUGUGCCAUACAGCAUCGCCGGCCUUAUUGCCGUCCUAUAAAAUUUUCCCUUGAGCUUCAGUGGCAUACGGCGGUCACACAACACGCCGGAUGCACUCUUCCACUUCAUCCAUCCAGCUUGUAUUCUAUGGUUGAGAUCUCCAUCUAAUUCUCCGUUCUUUUGCAAGAUAGAUCCUAGGUAACGAAAACGGUCGCUCUUUGGUAUUUCUUGAUCUCCGAUCCUCACCCCUAACUCGUUUUGGCCUCCAUUUGCACUGAACUUGCACUCCAUAUAUUCUGUCUUUGAUCGGCUUAGGCGAAGACCUUUAGAUUCCAACACUUCUCUCCAAAGGUUAAGCUUUGCAUUUACCCCUUCCUGAGUUUCAUCUAUCAACACUAUAUCGUCUGCGAAAAGCAUACACCAAGGAAUAUCAUCUUGAAUAUGUCCUGUUAACUCAUCCAUUACCAACGCAAAAAGGUAAGGACUUAAGGAUGAGCCUUGAUGUAAUCCUACAGUUAUGGGAAAGCUUUCGGUUUGUCCUUCAUGAGUUCUUACGGCAGUCUUUGCUCCUUCAUACAUAUCCUUUAUAGCUUGGAUAUAUGCUACUCGUACUCCUUUCUUCUCUAAAAUCCUCCAAAGAAUGUCUCUUGGGACCCUAUCAUACGCUUUUUCCAAAUCUAUAAAGACCAUGUGUAAAUCCUUUUUCCCAUCUCUAUAUCUUUCCAUCAAUCUUCGUAAGAGAUAGAUUGCCUCCAUGGUUGAGCGCCCUGGCAUGAACCCGAAUUGGUUGUCCGAAACCCGUGUCUCUUGCCUCAAUCUAUGCUCAAUGACUCUCUCCCAGAGCUUCAUUGUAUGACUCAUUAGCUUAAUACCCCUAUAGUUCAUGCAAUUUUGUACGUCGCCCUUAUUCUUGUAGAUAGGCACCAAAGUGCUCGUUCGCCACUCAUUUGGCAUCUUCUUCGUUUUCAAAAUCCUAUUGAAAAGGUCAGUGAGCCAUGUUAUACCUGUCUCUCCCAAAAGUUUCCACACUUCGAUUGGUAUAUCGUCUGGGCCUAUUGCUUUUUUAUGCUUCAUCUUCUUCAAAGCUACAACCACUUCUUCCUUCCGGAUUCGACGAUAAAAAGAGUAGUUUCUACACUCUUCUGAGUUACUCAACUCCCCUAAAGAAGCACUCAUUUCAUGUCCUUCAUUGAAAAGAUUAUGAAAAUAAACCUCUCCAUCUGUCUUUAACCGCGUUCUCUCUGUAGCAAGAACCUUUCCAUCCUCAUCCUUGAUGCACCUCACUUGGUUUAGGUCCCUUGUCUUCUUUUCCCUUGCUCUAGAUAGUUUAUAGAUAUCCAACUCUCCUUCUUUGGUAUCUAGUCGUUUAUACAUAUCGUCGUAAGCCGCUAACUUAGCUUCUCUGACAGCUUUCUUCGCCUCUUGCUUCGCUUUUCUAUACCUUUCACCAUUUUCAUCGGUCCUCUCCUUGUAUAAGGCUUUACAACAUUCCUUCUUAGCCUUCACCUUUGUUUGUACCUCCUCAUUCCACCACCAAGAUUCCUUUUGGUGUGGGGCAAAGCCCUUGGACUCUCCUAAUACCUCUUUUGCUACUUUUCGGAUACAACUAGCCAUGGAAUCCCACAUUUGGCUAGCUUCCCCCUCUCUAUCCCACACACAUUGGGUGAUUACCUUCUCUUUGAAAAUGACUUGUUUUUCUUCUUUUAGAUUCCACCAUCUAGUCCUUGGGCACUUCCAAGUCUUGUUCUUUUGUCUUACUCUUUUGAUAUGUACAUCCAUCACCAACAAGCGAUGUUGAUUAGCCACGCUCUCUCCUGGUAUAACUUUGCAAUCCUUACAAGUUAUACGAUCCCCUUUCCUCAUUAGAAGAAAAUCUAUUUGUGUUUUUGACGACCCACUCUUGUAGGUGAUCACAUGUUCUUCUCUCUUCUUAAAGAAGGUGUUGGCUAAGAAGAGAUCAUAUGCCAUUGCAAAAUCCAAGAUAGCUUCCCCAUCCUCGUUUCUCUCCCCAAAACCAUGGCCACCAUGAAAACCUCCAUAGUUGCCUGUCUCCCUGCCCACGUGUCCAUUUAAAUCUCCUCCUAUAAAUAACUUCUCCGUCUGAGCAAUUCCUUGCACCAAGUCUCCAAGAUCUUCCCAAAAAUUUCUCCUUCGAACUCGUAUCCAACCCUACUUGAGGUGCGUACGCACUAAUCACAUUGAUAAGUUCUUGUCCUAUUACAAUCUUGAUUGCCAUGAUUCUAUCUCCUACCCUCUUGACAUCUACAACAUCUUGUGUACCAAGGUCUUGUCCACGAUGAUGCCAACACCGUUUUCUCGUUCUAUUUGUGCCCGAAUACCAAAGUUUAAACCCUGAGUUUUCUAGAUCCUUUGUCCUUACUACCAACCCACUUAGUUUCUUGUAGGCACAUAAUAUUUAUCCUUCUCCUCACCAUAACUUCCACUACUUCCAUAGAUUUUCCCGUUAAGGUUCCUAUAUUCCACGUUCCUAAACGCAUUUUGCUCUCUUGAACUCUACCCUUCUGUCCUAGCUUCUUCACCCUCCCCCGUCUAAUAGGAUCAAAGUACUUCUUUUGUGUGUCCCGGGUAAAGUUGAUAGGAGCAUAUGCUCCCAAACAACUUUGAGUGGAGUCGUUCGAAAAGAAGUUUCUAUGGCCCCCUUGCUCAUUUAACACUGCAUCCGGGUGCCGAUGGAGAUACAGCGACCCUUGCUCACUUAUCACUGUGCUCGGGCCACACAGCGCGCCACUUACGGGUGACGCCCUAGCUUUAGCGUGAUUUUGUUCUGGAUUCAUUUUCAUAAGGAUUCGACGUGAUCAUGGAGUGCCGGCUGUCGACUACCUGACGCCCUCCCCCUCCUCCUUUAUCCGGGCUUGGGACCGGCCAUGUAAGACAUAGGCGGAGUUAAACAAAACUCAGCAAUUGAAAAAAAAUAAUAUCUCCUUCUUCAACUUGCAACAAACAAACAAAAAAAUCAAUUUAAUGGUAUUUUGGUGUUCUUGGAUUUGUCGAGAUGAAGGAAGAGGAAGGGGAAGGGUGAGAGAGAGAGAGAGAGAGAAUAAAAUUACUUUCAAUGGUAUUUUUUUAUUAAAUUAACAAUGAGGUUCAGACUCCAGACUCACCAUUAAUUAUGGAGGCUCGGUUACACGUGGAGUUGAAUGGGGGAGUUUAGCGGAACUGAGUCCUGCUAGCAUUUCUUUUUCUAACAUGGAUUCCAUUCGGAUCUAUUAUUUUAAAUUAAACAUAAAUAGUAUCUGAUAAAAAUUAAUCGUACGAUAUACAAUAAACGGUUGAGAUAUGAGAUUUCUUAUGACCCCCACAUAAUGGAUCCAAAGGGCAUCCGUGUUCUUUUUUUUCAAGAAUACGAGGGUAGAAACAAUUAAGAUCUACCUCCCCCUAUUUCAUCUAUAAUGUCAACCGGCUAAAUUGAUUAGCUAAUCGUAUAUAAAAAUAAUAAUAGCAUGAAAUCCUAAUUAUCGAACUAAGAAGGCACAUAGCACACCACUCCAUUACGAAAAUGGAAAAAAAAAUGUGAGCAAUAUAGAGUGUGCAUGCAUGCCAAGUAAUAUCCACAUGAACUAAAAUAUGAUAAACUCUUAAUAAGAGGACUGCUGAAAACGAAAAUUGGUUGUCUUUUGAUUAUUCAUCUCUAAAUAUUGAUGGUAUGUGGGUAGUUAUAUUGGUUCGAAUUCAAAUGAUAUAAAAAUAAUAAUAUAAAUUCAUUACUUUAUACAAAUUCAACUUUAUAUUUGAAGCUUCACCAUAUUGACAUAUCUAAGAAGGCACACAGCACACCACUCCAUUAGGAAAUUGGAAAAAAAAAUGUGAGAAAUAUAGAGUGUGCAUGCAUGCCAAGUAAUAUCCACAUGAACAAAAAAUGAGAAAAGCUUAAUAAGAGGACGGUUGAAAACGAAAAUUGGUUGCCUUCCGAUAAUUCAUCUCUAAACAUUGAUGGUACGUGGGUAGUUACUAUUGGAUCUCACAUUAAACUAAGAUUAGAUUGUGGGAAUCCUUGGGAGAAAACUGUUAACUCGUUUGUGUUUUUUCUCCGUCGUCUUUGAGGUUGAACACGUAAACUUUUUCUUUCUUUUUUUCUUUUUCACUUUUUCAUUUUCUUUUCUACUUUUAUUAUUUAUUUAUUUCUAAUUGAUUUUUCACUACAGAACCAGCACGUUUCUAGUUCUUAUUUACAUAUUUUUGUUUUUUUAUUUUUUAUUUUUUUUAAAUACAGUUUUAUGUUUAGUUAUGUUUUUUUUUUUUACCAAUUUGUCCUAUUUUUUUAUUUUUUUGAAUUUAGAUUGUGAAGGAAAUUAAGGAUCAUUUUUGGUAUUUUCGAAUGCUUCAUCCACUCAACAUAAAAAAAAAGGAUACUUUAACGAAAAGCAUCCGGUACUGUUCACUUUAACGAAAAACCACAUUUUUACACUAAAAAGUCAAUCAUGGUACUAUUCACUUUACCCUUUAUUUUGUCCUUAUCAUUAAAACUCAAAGUUUUCAAGCCCUUUUCAUUAGUUUUCCUAAAAAAAUAAUGUGCUAGAAAGAACGAAUCAUGCUGUACAAGCAACAGCAUCGGGAGACCAAAUACUUGCAUUUAAGGGCCGAAUUAAUGUUGGCUGGGAUAAGUGGUCCAUUGGGCUUUCGGGGGAAAGUAAAAUACAAGUCGGAAAGAAUAUAGAGAGGAGUACCGCCUCGCCUUACGCCUUACGCCUUUCUUCCGUCGGCGUCGUCUAGGGUUUUAGUUGUAAGUUGUAACAGAGCCUAUAAGGGGCACGAUAGCCCCAGUAAUUCAUCAACCUUCAAUUCCCAGACCUGACCGGAGCCGCCGUAGAAAUAUUACUAUUACCAUCCUCCUCUUGGUGAUCGCCCUGUCGCAUAUGGCUUCUGGAUUCAGGGCCUGUACAGGGUGAUUACCAAAGGGAUGACGGUAAUAUUUAAUUCAUGAUGUUGGCAAACUCGUCGGAGGGAAAUGUACUUUGGUUUUCUUGGAUUUAUCGAGAUGGAGGAAGAGGAAGGGGAAGGGUGAGAGAGAGAGAGAAUAAUUAUUUUUAAUGGUAUUUUUUUAUUAAAUUAACAAUGAGGUCCAGACUCACCAUCAAUUAUGGAGGCUCAGUUACACGUGGAGUUGAAUGGGGGAGUUUGGCGGGAGAAAUUUUUAGUUGUAAUAGAAACACGUAUGCUAUAUCAUAUGUUUUUACAUAAGUAUUGAAAAAUUUUAAUUUUUAAGUUAUUAACUUUUUAACACAUAUAUCUGACCAUUUAUUUAGGAACACAUAGUGUACUGUCUCAUGUGACGAUCACAUUGAAAAAUCUUUAGUUUGGCAGAAGCAAGUACUCCUAACAUUUCUUUUCAAGAAUACAAGGGUAGAAACAAUUAAGAUCUACCUCCUCCUAUUUCAUCUGCAGGAAAGUGAUUCUCUUUGGAUCAUUUCUCCUAAUUCAUCAAAUCUGAAGAUCUGUGUCAUUGAAAUUUAAUCCAACGGCUACAAACAGGGGUCUAGUUUAAAAGUUAUAAUAAUUUCAACUGUUUAACCAAAUUUUAAUGACACGAAUCUCCUAAUUUAGUGAAUUAGGAAGAAGGGAUUCAGACAUAAUCCCUUUCCUCAUCUGCAAUGUCAACCGGCUAAAUUGAUCAGCUAAUCGUUCGAUAUCUCUCUUGCUAACGAUAAUCCCUUACGCAUCUACAAGAUUUUGGUACUACUUAGGUAAAUGUUAUCAAGGCAUGCAAAGCAGUACGCCUGGUAUAAUUAAUAACAAUAUUUUCAAGAUGACAUUUAUGUUGUUCACUUAACGAGUAAAUACAUCAAACAAUCAACUCUUUAAAAUGACAAUCAUCACUUUUAAGCAUAACAAAGUCAGCUACAUUCUCCUCAUAAGCAAACUCAAACAACUCAAGAAUGCCAUAAAUCCAAUUGAGAUAAAUGUCACCGUAUCCACAAGAAAUCCAUCCCUAUACAUGUUGAAGAGUACAAGGAUCUCAUAUCAAAUUUGUCAAAAUUAAAGAUGACUUAUAUUGUGCAAUUUUCACUCCUAAUUAUAUCAAAGUUUUUUGUGAUAAGAUAUUCACAUAUGAAGUGUUGUGCAUGUUGGAAAAUUCAAGUCGAUAGAAAGUAUUGAUGUUGUUAAUGAUGGGUCCUUGUAAAGCAUGUGAUAAAAUUUUCAUGUUUCAAAGCUGUUUGUAAAACGUUAAUAGAUGAGCCCUUAACUUAUAUGUUAGCCACCAUUAGCUAGUAAACAUUACCAUACCAACAAACCCCCAAACUCUAUGUGCUGUAUUAUAAAUAAAAUUGGUCUCUACGAAAAAACACUUUGUAAAACGGAUAAGCACUUUACAAACCACUUCUGUUUGUCACUUUUCUUUUCUAAAAGCCAUUUUUGUUUAUAAGCACUAUACUAGAAGCAACGUAAAAAAUUUUAGUAAAAUUCUAUCCUUUAAAAGCACUUACAUUUUUUUCUACUAACAUCAUCAUAAUACUUUGAGAAUAUUGUUUGAAAGCACUUUUAAUAACUCUAAAAACUAGGAAAAGUUGACAAUAUAAAAAUUUUAGUUCCUUUUAUUUUUUAUUUUUUAUUCUGCAAUGUCAUAAUUUAAAUCUUCUAUUUAAUUAGAUGUCAUUUAUAUGUAUCACUUGUCAUGUCAAAUAGUACAUUAAUGUGGUACAAAAAUAAAAAAGCUAAGUUGAAGGGAGCUUUCUUCAUUGACCCCGGCCACGACCAUCAUUAAAUUGACUGAAAUACAUUCUUUCUUGAGGGAUCAUGCCUUCGGGAGAAACUAGUGAUGAUUGCCUCUCAAUGGCAUUCGUCUUCGAGAGAUAUUUCUUUGAGAAGAAUGCAAUUUCAAUAUAAGAAUUUCCGUGGGGAGGAUUUUACGAGGAAUUCGAGUAGUCGGCGGCUUUGGAAAUUCUGGCUCACAUACGGCCACAGUGAGGUAGCAGUUGUGGAGUACUUUCAUAUCCCGGCAAUCUGUGACGAUGUCGUUCCUGGAACUAAAGCAUUCUCUGGUAUAGAUUAAGCUCGGCCACUACAAAUACAAUGAAUUUGGAAGUUUUAGGUCACGACUUUCAGUUUAUGGCUCCAAACUUUUUGUCACAAAAUUGAUUAUUUGAUUGGUGGUGUUUUGGUAUUAAGAGGACGGACAUAUUUAAUGACAGGUAUGUAUCCAAUCUCAAUUUAUUUUGGAAUGAUGAAAUGAAAGGUGGUGUCUGUUGAAUUUUACUGUUUUGCAAUUUGGGAUUUCUGUGUGGAUUGUAAACUUUGAUUUUUUUUUUUUUGGUCAGUGAUUGAAUUUUUCUUGCAUUUGAUACAAAAUUAAUGAAAUGAGAUUGAAAAAUGAGGAGUUGCUAUCAGACGUUUAUGUUUUAGUAUAAUUUCACACGUAUGAUAAGAAAGCAUUCCCACCCCCCCCCCACCCCAACCCCCCAACCCGGUGUUUUUUUCUUCAGAUGAAUAUGAUUUUUUUGAAUUUAGAUUGUGAAGGAAAUUAAGGAUCAUUUUUCGUAUUUUCGAAAAUCCAAAAAAACAUUAGUUUUAAUGAAAAAUGAUAAAUACAUGUGUAGUGAAUAGUACCAGAGAAAUGUAAAAAUGUGAUUUUUCAUUAAAAGUAAACAAUACCGGGAAUGUAUCGUUAAAACUCCCUAAACAAAUGAUGUGGUAGAAAGAAAGAAUGAUGUACAAGCAACAGCAACGGGAGACCCAAGUACUUGCAUUUAAGGGCCGAAUUAAUGUGGGCUGGGAUAAGUUGUCCAUUGGGCUUUCGGGUGAAAGUAAAUAGAAGGCCUUUCUUCUGUCGGCGUCGUGUAGAGUUUUAGUUGUUACAGAACCUAUGAAAUGAGCACGAUGGCUGCCUACAAUUCGUUAACCUUCAAUUUCGCACACCUGAGUCUGGGGGCCGGAGCCGCUGUUGCAGAAUAUUACUAUUACCCUCCUCCUCUUGGUGAUCGCCCUGCCCCAUAUGGUCUUCUGAAUUCAGGGCCUGCAUAUCGACAGGGUGGUUACCAAUGGGAUGACGGUAAUAUUUAAUUGAUGAUGUUGGCAAACUCAUCGGAAAAUCGACCCGGCGCUGGCAAACUCACCGGGGGCAGAGCUCUGAAGUGGCCGCCAUACCACUCCCCUCGCUGACAUUUCACGAAGAAGAUAACGAACGCGAAAAUUAUGCUAAAUUUUAGUGCUUUUGUUGUUUUACUUUGUUUUUGUGUUCUAGGGUUUCAGGGUUUGGUUGCUGGUGACAGGGUUCGAAAGCUCGAGGAUUUUGACCUUUAGCAAGGACUUGUUCUUUCUGUAUGAAUUAACUCUCAAUUCUAUGUGUUAAAGGUGCUCUACUCUGAUGCUAGACAGAAGGAAUAUGGACAGAAGGAAUAUGAUCAUUCCUUCACAGCUAGGAUAGCAUGUGUGGAUGCACUAUUAACGUGGACAGCAAGGCCACUGCAUGUGGUUACUGACUGCUUCAACAAGGACAGCAUGGAUGUCACUUUCUGUCCUUUGUUUAUUGCAUGCCUCUGUAAAAACCUUGUAUAUAAGUUCUACUGCAAUUGUAGCAGAAUAUUCAAUCAAAUAUAUUGGAUCCAAGCUUUGGACCGUGCAACUUCGACACCCAGAAAAUAUUUUAAUGGUCCGAGGUCUUUAAUUCGAAAACAUCCACUAAGAAAUUGCUUGAGUCCGUAUAAUGACUUGUGAAGUCGACAAACCAUAGUCUCCCCCUGUCGACGAUAACCAGGAGGGGGUAACAUAUAUACUUCCACCAUGUCCGGCACCCGAUAUCCUCUUCACAGGUAUGUUUCUUAUGCUCGCCUCUCUCAUGCUCAUCGUUCCUUUGUUCACAAUGUCUCUCACUUAGUUGAACCAGCCUCCUAUGAGCAGGCACGCCAUGACCCUCACUGGCUUGCAGCUAUGCAUUCUGAGCUUGACGCACUUGAAGCCAAUCACACCUGGACUUUGGUUCCUUUACCCCUCCACCAACGCCCCAUUGGAUGUAAAUGGGUCUUCAAAAUCAAGUAUCAUUCCGACGGUACCAUCGAACGCUACAAGGCUCGCCUCGUUGCCAAAGGGUUCACGCAGCGCGAAGGUAUUGAUUACAAAGAGACGUUCGCCCCCGUUGCUAAGCUCAUUACUGUCCGCUGUCUCUUGACCAUUGCUGCUGUUCGCAGCUGGUCUCUUCACCAAAUGGAUGUCCAAAACGCUUUCCUUCACGGUGCACUCCAUGAGGAAGUAUAUAUGUUACCCCCUCCUGGUUAUCGUCGACAGGGGGAGACUAUGGUUUGUCGACUUCACAAGUCAUUAUACGGACUCAAGCAAUUUCUUAGUGGAUGUUUUCGAAUUAAAGACCUCGGACCAUUAAAAUAUUUUCUGGGUGUCGAAGUUGCACGGUCCAAAGCUGGGAUCUCCAUUUGCCAACGAAAGUAUACUCUGGACAUAUUGGAAGAAGCUGGCUUGCUUGGCGUAAAACCUGCCAAGGUACCUAUGGAACCCGAUUUAGUGUUGACAACAACAGGUGGUGAUGCCCUCAAGGAUCCGACUCGAUAUCGACGUCUGGUUGGAAAAUUAAUAUACCUUACCAUCACUAGGCCAGAUAUUACGUAUGCAGUGAAUAAUCUCAGUCAGUUCAUGCAAGAACCAACACUCCAUCACCUUAAAGCAGCACAUCGUCUCCUCCAAUAUCUGAAAGAAGCACCAGGACAAGGGUUACUAUUCCCUACGGAGAACCAACUUAAUUUGGUUGGCUACUGUGAUGCGGAUUGGGCUAGAUGUCCGAUCACACGACGAUCAGUGACAGGUUUUUGCAUCUUCCUUGGUAAAUCACUUGUAUCGUGGAAAAGUAAAAAGCAAGUCACGGUGGCAAGAUCUUCAGCAGAAGCCGAGUAUCGCUCCAUGGCUGCAACGACUUGUGAGCUUACUUGGCUGAGGAAUUUGUUGAAAGAUUUGCGUGUAAAUCAUCCUGAGUCGGCAAGGUUGUUUUGUGACAAUCAAGCUGCUCUACAUAUUGCAGCGAACCCUGUGUAUCAUGAACGAACCAAACACAUAGAGCUGGAUUGUCAUACUGUCCGUGAAAGGAUUCAGAGGGGAGAGAUCGAGACGUCUCAUGUGCAGACGAGACGUCAAAUAGCAGACAUAUUUACAAAGCCACUGAGAGCACCUACCUUCCAUUCACAUCUUGGCAAGUUGGGUGUUAUUGAUAUCCACACUCCUACUUGAGGGGGAGUGUUAAAGGUGCUCUACUCUGAUGCUAGACAGAAGGAAUAUGGACAGAAGGAAUAUGAUCAUUCCUUCACAGCUAGGAUAGCAUGUGUGGAUGCACUAUUAACGUGGACAGCAAGGCCACUGCAUGUGGUUACUGACUGCUUCAACAAGGACAGCAUGGAUGUCACUUUCUGUCCUUUGUUUAUUGCAUGCCUCUGUAAAAACCUUGUAUAUAAGUUCUACUGCAAUUGUAGCAGAAUAUUCAAUCAAAUAUAUUGGAUCCAAACUUUUAUACUAUGAAAUUUCAGUUUCGAUUUCAAUGUCUGUUUUAAAAUUUAUUUCAUGAUGUUCGAAUUGGGAUCUCAAAUAUCGCCUUUGUGCUUGGAUUUAUGAUGCAAAUCUUAAAUUUUGUAACUCGUCUAAAUUUAGAGUAUGUGAGAUAAGAUAUAUUCUGAGAUCGUGUUUUUGCUUGUUUGAAAACUGUCGCCGAAAGCGGUCAUCACCUAGCUCAGUCAACUCGUUAUUAUUUCCAGGGUGCCCUUGGGUCGAGUGUUUGUCACUAACUUCGCUUAUCAUGGCCCUUCAAUUGAAAUGGCACUAGAUAUGUUUUGACGUGCUUGUUCUGCGCAUUUGAUAUGUCUGAUCUGAGGGCCGAUAUGACAUGUCCUAGCAAGGCUAGGAUACCCUAUGUAUGUCGACAUGUCAAUGCAUAUCACGACAAUGUGCAUAGAUAGUCGUAACCUCGUUGCUUGUUGGCAUAAAGCGAGAGUUGGCAUGCCAUUGGCUUGUCAUGGCAUAUCAAAGCAAAAUCCAACGAGUACAAAUUUGUGGCCUUCACUACUUAUACUCAAGAGUCGGAUGACAUUGUGAGACUUAUUACUCCACCCAAAGCGGUAGUAUACACCAUCAGUUGUGACUUGUGAUUCUUGGAAAGAGGUCGGCACCGUUUCUUUAGAAGCCAAAACUACUUUGGUUUGGCCUGACAGGUUCCAGAUGUGCUUCAAGGGAAUGUGUUUUUGGCUGGGAAUUGAGCAAGGUAAGGAAAUAUCUGUUUAUGACACUUUUGAUGACCCAGAAGGCAGGAGAGUGAUCAUUUCUUUCGAUACAAGUCGCGAGGUAUUUCAUGGUAUACCCGAACCAUCUGAGCUCCAACGAUUACCCCUGGGGCGUGACCUUGAUUUGAAGCUUAUUGUGUGGAAUGAAUCACUUUCUUAUGGUUCACAAUGAUGGACGCGUAGUUUGCUUUAAUCUUUGUACGAAAAAGCUUACAUAUAUUCCCACUGAAACAUGAGGUGAGUUUGUUGGUUGUGUGAAUAGCAUAGUUUCGGUCAUGGGACGCAACCACAAGCCUGAGAGCAUAGAGAAUAAUUGCUCAGACAGAUGAAGACUCGAUGGUGGCGGUAGAAGGGAAGAGGGAAAGCUGCAGGAGGCGGUACUCAUAUUCCGUUUGGGCCAUUCCACUGGCUGAUGUUUCAAGGGCCUCUGGGCAGAGUUUGGUGGGCCGGAGAUUAGCCUCACAUCCCCAUAUUGGGAUCCACCCAUAUUAUGAGUUGCGAGGACGCUCUUAACAAGUUUAGAUCUCCCUUACGGAUGAUUUCAUUGCUAAAGUUGUUCAGGUGGUUACUAGGAAUUACUAUCACCAAUGUGUUUCCUUGUUGAUGGAUCAAGGGGUAUAUAUUUUCCCGAUCGCUUGCUAAUUGCUAUUCAUUUUCUUCAUGUUUUCUUCUGUUUUGUUUCCUUUUCCUCUUUCUCAUUUUGGUCUCUUAAGCUGGGAUAGACUCACUAAUUAUCAAAUUUUAUGUUCUUAGUUAUUCCAAAGUGCCAAAACUACAUUUCGGUUUCUACAACAGUAAGUUGUUGUUUAUGUUAACCUUUGAGCUGGUGUUUUUUUGUUUUCACGAAAGCUUCUUUCUUAAUUUCUUCUUGAUGUUUACGGGAAUGUUCAUAUGUAAUCUGUCUGUCUGCAAUAUUUGAUGGAUGCAGGUUCAAUGAAACAUAAUUAUAUAAGAUCCUGCCAAAAUUAGAUCAACUUCAACUUUAUCCAUGCCUUGCAAAUUGAGCUUCAGAACACGAGUCGGAUUGCAAAUGAUGGCAAAAUGUUUGAAAGUGGAGAAAAUUUCGGAGAUUUUCUAUUGAAAGAUCCAUCAUUUCUUAGUCUUGCGGAGGAGAUUUUUUAUCUUAACAUGAACAGCUCUACAAUCUAUUCAACUCUCAUAGUCUCACUAUCUCCAAAUGGUAAAGGCCAAGAGACUCAGGUGUCCGGCUAAAUGUUACCUGAACAAGUAGAUGAUGAAUAAUCAAGAGACAAAGAGAGGCGCGUAAGAGGAUCUUCGUCCAUUGGGUCGGAUAUCUGAUCUCCUCUAUCACAGACUGCCGGACGUUGUGGCUUCCAAUGAUGAAUAGAUAAAGAAAGACACGUACGAAGAUCUUCGUCCAUUGGGUCAGAUAUCUGAUCUCCUCUGUCGUGACCGCCGAACCCUGUGGCUUCCAAUGAUGAGACUGAGAAAGGCGCGUAAGAAAAUCUUCCUCCAUUGGGUCGGCUAUCUGAUCUCCUCUGUCAUUGACUGCCGAACCCUGUGGCUGGAAGAGUACUGAGAGAUUCUCAGAACGAGUUUGAGGCUGAAUAUGAUGGCCUGCAGGAAAAGUAUUAGAAGACAAGGAAAAAUGUGAACGCGCAAGGCUGAGAGGACCAUGAUCAUGCACUGCUAUAGUACUACCGAUGUACUUACUGAGAUCAUAAUCAUAAGAUGGCUCAGAAUUAUCAGAUGACUUCUCAUAGAACCGAGCUGGAUGUUGGUCAAAAACAUAACUAGCUUGGUCCAAAUCAUGCGUAUUUUCCUUCAUAGGUUUGUUCCACACUAGAUUAACCAUUGUUCUAAUUGAUGGCCUAAAACAAGAAUUUACUGAAAGUUGAACUUCAACUUUAUCCCCACUUUGCAAUUUCAGCUUAUCGUUCGAUAGUUGUCCUUGCCAAAGUAUAGGCGUAUUCCCAUAUAUGCUGCAUAAGUAAGCCUGCAACUUUGUACACUUGGUAUUAUUUAUAACAGUAAUGCCAAAUUUACCUCCAAGUACAUGUUUUAUCAAGAAGCACAGAGUCAACCCUUCAAAAGUACAACCAUCAUUCGGGGGAAUAUCAAAACUGACUGUACUGCUCUGGUUAACAAACUCAAACCAAUCAGGAACAAAAUUCCCAGAGAGUAAAACGCCACCAAAUCCGCACAGAGUCCAUCCCUACAUAUACAAUGCAAGUGUCAUACACACAUACAUACAUACACAUGUAAACGUGCGUUUGUGUGUGCAUGUGCACGAUAGGAAGGCAAUGAGAGAGAGAGAGUGUGAGGUACCUGUAGGAUGUUCUUCACAAAAUCAGUUGUGAGAUUGGUGCAAUCCCUCAUAUCAAUCAAUGUCAUGAAGUUUAAUGACUUAUCCAAGCCUGGAAUCUCAGUGAGUUUGUGCGAAUCUCUUACACUCAACUCUGUCAUCUUUGACAUUUCCGAAAAAUCGGGCAUUGUUUCCAAUGCAUGGCAAUUAUCGGCAUACAGAAAAUUCAAAUUUGUUGGUAAAUCAGGGAUUGUACGAAGGUUAAAGCAGUUAUUUAAACUCAAUGUUUCAAGCUUUGUAAGACCACUUAGGCUGGGUAGGGUAUGAAAAUCAUUCCCUUGAAGAUCCAAAACUUGUAAAGAAAUUAGACUCCCAAGAUCCUGAGGGAUUGCAUCAUGUUCUAAUUCCGCACCAUCUAGGGAUAAAAGAAUGAGAUUCUUCAAUCUAACUGUGGAAGAUGGUAUUUGUGAUAUGGCUGUAUUAUCUGCUUCAAGUAUUCUCAAUGAUAUCAUCUCCCCUAAAUCCUCAUGCACUUCUCUGAAUUCUAAACAGCUAUUAAGAAGAAGAGUCUCAACAGAUUUCAACUUAUAGAAAUCCCUUGGAAGAGAACUAAGCUUAACGCAUUCGCUAAGGUUCACCAAAGAAAGUUUUUGAAGUUGACCAAUGGAGGGGUGAAUCUUGGACAAACUCCUACAAUUUUCCAGUAUCAACUCUUCAAGAUUUGGGACUUGUGAAAGGUCCGGUGAUUUAAUUAAAAAUAGGGAAUGACUGAGAUUCAGGAUUUUCAACCUCUCUAGCAACUGUUACAGAAAACCAAAGGAAAAUUGAAAUUAAUAUCCAAAAGGAAGAUGUCAUAAAAAAAAAAAGGAAAUCCAAAAACAAAUAGAAACAGAACAUCAUCAUGUGUAAUUGAUCGUACCUUAUAACCCUCCCAAACUUGUACCAGUUUGCUAUACUUCAUAUCUAAAAUAACUAGUCUUGGUUGAUCAAAAAAGUCAUAUGCUAUGGACUCUAAAGGGCAUCCUUCCCAACACAACCAUAUUAACUCUUUGGGAAGACGUUUGUAUUCUCCCUCGAGCUGAACAUAUUUGAGAUGAAGGAAUUUCAGUUUCUUCAUAUUGGCAAAUGCUUCUGUACUGAAACUAGGCAUGCUAGAGCUUAGAGUAAAAGGGAAAUUUAGAGCAAGUCCUUCAACUUCUUCAGUUCCCUGUUAACAAAAUGUGUAAGAAACGGAUUAUUUGCAUAUAUUAUUAUUCAUUUGGCAAAAUCACCUACGGUGAAUAUAUUUACACAUAAAUGUUGUUUAGUGUAUAAUAGACAUACGUAGGUUACAUAUAUGUUUUCAAGUAGGAUGCAUUAUGCAAAAUUUUAUUGGGAAUGUACUUACAGAUUUAUUUCUCAAGACUUCGGCGGCCUCUUGACGAUUCCACAACCUACUCCAUUUUUCAGGGUGACCAAGAGAUUUUUCAGAAACGAUUACUCUGGCCAUUUCUCGCAGCAAAUCAUGCAUAUUCAACUUGUUGUCUUCAACAGUUAUAAGGCAUCGUUCACGGAGGACACUGAUUCCUAUUGAUGCAAAAAGUCCACAUCCAUCUAAUACUUUUGUGACAUAAUUCUUGUCCAUUCCAAUAAAGAAACAAGAUAUGUCAAGAAAUAUAGCCUUCUCUGAAGGAUCUAGCCCGUCAAAGCUUAUUCUGAGUCGAUUUACAAUGUUUCCAUCUGGAUAUCUUCCCAAUUUCUCCAAUUGACUUUCCCACUCUUCCAACGAUCUUUUAAUCAAAAGAGAUCCUAAAACUUCAAGCGCUAGUGGUAAACCUCCACAGUAAGAAACAAAUUUUUCUGAAACUUCAAGAUAUCCUUGAUUAGGACAACUAUUUUUAAAGGCAUGCCAACUAAAUAGCUCAAGAGCUUCUUCUUCAUUCAUUUUCUUAGCCUGAAAUGUUUUGUUCACAUUUAGUAGUAGACGUUCAUCUCGUGUCGUUAUGACAAUUCUACUUCCAGGACCAAACCAAUCAUGACUUCCAACUAUUGCAUCCAGUUGUUCCUUUUUAUCAAUGUUGUCCACGAUGACAAGUAUCUUUCUAUGUCGAAAUUGUUGUUUUAUCAGACCUAUACCUUCGGCAACACAGCUUAUUUCAUGCUUCUUUUUCAAGAUGUCAGAAAUAAGUUUUUUUUGCACAUCAACCAGAUCAUGUUUACUUGUAGCAUCGCGAACGUCGGCAAGGAAACUUUUCAAUUCAAACUGAGGAUGAAUUUGGUUAUAAAUGGCUUUGGCAGCUGUUGUUUUACCCAAUCCACCCAUCCCCCAAAUUCCAACCAUAAGAACAUCAUUUGAUCCACCACUUGAAAGAUAACUGAUAAUAUCUUGAACGUGUGAAUUGAUUCCAACUAUGUGCUUGGCCACAUGUAAUUCGUUAGUGUUGGUGAGCCAUUCACAAAUAUUCUCAUCAAUAAUUUUUUUAAUGAACUCUGCUUCGCCCCUAAAAAUUGAAUUCGUAAGCAUUAGUGGGAAUCAAUGAAGGCUCGGUAGGAGAUAUCAGUACAUAAACAAUUUUCUUUCCUUCUUCCCUUCAUAAUAUAUAUAUAUAUAUAUAUAUAUAUAUAUAUAUAUAUAUAUAUAUAUAUAUAUAUAUAUAUAUCAGUACAUAAACAAUUUUCUUUCCUUCUUCCCUUCAUAAUAUAUAUAUAUAUAUAUAUAUAAUGAACUUGAAUAAAAGAAUUCAUUGAUAAAUAAAAGUUAGGCGUAUGAAUUAAACUCCAAUUACGGUUUAGGUUACUUAUGAGAGAUUAAGGUGUAUUCAUUAAGCAUGUGAAUGAAUGUUUAGAUUAUGUAAAAUGUUAAUUAAGCAUGUCAAUUAAUUGAGAGAUUAAGUCGUUCGCUAAAAUUAGCAGCUUCUGUGAAGGAUAAACUUGAGAGAUUAAGGUGUAUUAAUUAAGCAUGUUAAUUAGAGUAAUACAACUCAAAUCUUGAAAAGCAGCUGAAUGAUUACCCAUUGUUAGCGAUUUUAUGAUGGUGGCCAGACAAAUUUGCAGCCUUUGUGAGAGCCUCUCUCCACUGCCUUACCCUUUCUUGUUUAGCUUCACGUUUCUUGUCAUCUUUUUCUUCACGGAUGUCCUUUUCGUGCUUCUGAAAUGCUUCGGCUAAAUCUCCGUCCUGCUUCCUGACAUGCGAAGGAUCAACGUGAUAGAAUAUUGGUAAAACAUGUCGCCCCAGUUCGUCUGUACACUCCAUGAUCUUCACCAGCUCGUCAAGACACCAACUCGAAUCCGCAUAUCUCCUUGAGAAGAUAAUGAUAGAGAUCAUCGACUCUUCGAUUACCUUUAACAGUUCUUUUAUUUCUUCCCCUCUUUGUAGAUCGUCCUCAUCAAUAAAGACCCGGUAACCUCUGGCUUUUAAUGCCUCGUGGAGGUGGCUCGUGAAGCCAUAGCGUGUGUCCUCGCCCCUGAAGCUCAAGAAUACGUCGUACUUCCAGAGUUUGGACUUGGAGGAGGACGAAGAGGAGGCUUCGUGGGCUGUCAUGGAGGUAUCCACCGUUAUGGGCAUAGCAGUGG
rnacentral:lncRNA from 1 species